rnacentral:lncRNA from 1 species
UAAAAAAAAAAACUGCAAUUUAAGAUGCUCAAAUUGCAUAUUCAAACAAAUUUUAAUCGAAAACUAAUAUGAUACGAGUUGGAAAACAAAUCUAUUACAUGGUGGUAUAGGAACACUAAAUCUUAACAACUAGAGGUAGGGUGGGCAUAAAAUAUCAAAAACUGAAUUACCGAAUCGAACCAAAAAAUUUGGUAAUUUGAUAUUUGGGAGUAAAAUUUUAAAAUUAUGGUAUUUGGGUUCGGGAUUGGUAAAAAUUAUUACUACUGUUUGGUACUUGGUAUUUUUUGAAUAUUCAAUAAUAGUUAAGUGACCCAUAGGUCACAUACCUAGUCCACACUCCAAAGGCCACAUAUUUGUGUGAAUAUUGCUCAAGCAAACUUUGAACUAUUAAACAUAGACCUAAAGUAAACUCUUACGUUUACACAAUAAACUUCCUUGCAACCAACAUAUGACAAUUUUUGAUGAAAAUAUCACGCUAAGACUGAAAAUCAGGGCGCAGAAGGGAACAACAGAAAAGAAGUCUUCAUGACAUGAUACAUAACACCAUUGUUGGUUGCACUUGCCCAACUCUAAUACUCCUAACAUAGAUCGGAAUAUAGCUUUAACCAAGGGGACUUGGACAAGCCUUCUUAAUCCUUGUGUUCACAUGUCAACAACAGAUGGAAAUUAUCGAUAAACUCAGCACUUGGCAGACAACAUAACAUAUAUUGCUCUUCAUCACAUUUAUAAGAAGUAAUAUUAUGACUUCACAUCACAUUUAUAUCCAGUUCUUGUUAUAUCCAGUUUGAUGUAAAUGUUAUUCGUGUUACAUCCAGUUCUCCCCUUCUAGGAGCUUGAUCAAUAUACUAUAACAUAAGUUUUAAGGUGUUUCAUUAAUUGAGCCACAUAUAUCAACAUGUAACAAGAUCAAACAAAAUUAAUUUUUCUGGUGUAAAACUUUGUAUUCAGAGGAGUCAAACUACCAAACAAAAUUAAAUUUUUCUCAACACGUUGGUUGAAAAUCACCACUACUAUCACCAAAUAGGAUCGCUAUAAGCAUGUCCAACUUUAAUAUGGUAAUUUCGAAUUCCUUACCGAACCAAAAUUUAAUUUAGCGAUUACCGAAUUACGGAACCGAAGUUUAAUGGUAUGGUAUUUGGUAGCUACUUUCAUUUACCGAUUACCGAACCUAAAAUAUGAAAAUAUCAAACCGAAUACCGAACGCCCACCCCUAACUAGAGGAGUUCUGUCGAUAAUUCCAAAGUAUAAAAAAAAUGCGAAAAGAAAAGAAAGUACUCAGAACCAGCAUAGUGGUGUCGUGGUGUAGUUGGUUAUCACGUCAGUCUAACACACUGAAGGUCUCCGGUUCGAGUCCGGGCGACGCCAUUUUCUCUUUUAUUGUUCUUGUUUUUUUUUUUUGAACUUUCACAGUGUUCAACGUAGUGAUUACUGCUUUGAUUUUCUUCCCAGAAGGAUGCUGCUGCUGUAGCAGCAACUUAUGACUCUUUCUCAUGUUUAGGCAACCUAAGACAUGACCAGUGGUGUGUUAUUUGACAUGCUAAUUCAGAGCAUCUAGCCGAAUAAGCCAGAGGUUACAAAGGCCUAUAUUCAUUUGUCGUUAUCUGAUAAUGCAUGAAUUUAUUGGUUCAAUCGUUGAUUUUCUCCUUCAGGAUUUCAAUGAGAUGCUUGAAUCUCAGGCAAGAAAUUUUGUGGUUCGUGUGAAGGAUCACUUUGAAACACUUCACAAAGAGCUCCGAUUCGUCCGAACUUUCGUCAUUUUUCCACCAGAGCAGCCAAUAAUGAUGGGAAAAUCGGAUGAUAUGUCAGCAAUGGAGCAGUAUUGAAGCUACAGCAAUGGAGGCAGGGUCUAUCAUUCGUCGUUUUCAUAAAAGAGAAAUGAAUGAAAUCUCUGCCAAAGAACUAGAACUUGAAGUUAUUGGUUUGUUACAGUAGGUUGAAACCAUAAAGCCAAAGAGAUUUAUCUCAACAUUCAAAAGCUGCCAACAGAAUCAAUCAUCCCACUGAUUGAUGUGUUGGGGUUUAUAAAUUCUCUGUUUGAGAAUGUGCAACAGCUUUUAUCCACUCCAAAAUUGAUUCAAUUGCUCUUGUGAAACUUCAAUUGCAGGAACUUGAGUUUUUUCAAAUCAUUUCUCAAGGAUGUUGCAGAUUAUGACCAUCUAGAUGAGGAUGCUGAGGAAUGUCCUUAGCACACAUAUUAUCCAUUUAAACUACAGGAUCGAGUACAUCACCGAUUCUCUUCUUGUAAAGCCUUCCUCUUUAUGGCAUUGUCUGUUAGACAAUGUGAUACUGGUGACUACUUUUGUUAAGACACGACUCUUGGAGAACCUUGACGAGAAGAUGAGUUCUUUGAGAGACAAUGAGUCUCCAAGUGCUUUUGCUCGAGUGGCAUCCGAAGGGAACUCUUCAUAUUUAAUGAAGAAUUAGAUGGUUUCGGAUGUGAUGGACAAACCAUAGUUGCAAAGCUAAUUAUGGGACCAGCAGAGCUCGACAUGAUUUCCGUUGUUGGUAUGCCUGGUCUUGAGAAAGACAACACUUGCCAAGAAAGUGUUUAGUGAUGAAAGUGUCUCUCUGAGCUUCCAGGUACGAGCUUGGUGCUGUGUAUCUCAGUUAUAUCAAAAGAAAGAGUUGCUACCAAAAAUAUUGUGUCAAUUUGUUGAGGAAACUUACAAGAUCAGAAAAAUGGAUGAGCAAGAACUAGCUCAUGAACUGAAAAGGAGAUUACAGAGAAGGAGGUACCUCAUUGUUACAGGCAACAUAUGGAAAACUGACGCGUGGGAUGAUUUGAAGAUGUGUUCUACAGAUGACAACAAUGGAAGCAGAAUUAUCAUGACAACCCCGCUCAACGAAGUUGCUAUGGAUGCUAAACAAUGCAAUGAACCCCAUUAUCUUAAUUAGUUUUCUUAAUGAACAAGAAAGAUGGAAUUUACUGCACCGGAAGUUGUUUCACGCGGAGGGCUGGCGUACUGAACUGUGCUGACAAAUGGAAAAGAGAUUCCAGAUAGAUGUCAGGGAAUGCCUCUCUAUAUUGUUUUGGUAGCAGGAAUUCUUGGCAAGAUUGAGGUUUAAACCAAACAAUGUGAUAGGGGAUAAAGCAAACAACUGGAAUCGUGUGGCAGACGGUUUAAGUUCCAAGUUGGUUUGUUACACACGUUAGAUUGAAGAACCAGUUCCCCUACAUUCCCAUAGUUACAAUUUUGGUUUUGAUGCCCAUGAUUGAUGUUGGUCCUCCAGAAACUCCAAUAAUACAUGAGCAAUGCCGUCCACGAAUUAUUUGUGACAGGAGACAAUUUGUACUAUCAAGGCCUAGCGGGACAACUAUGCACUCUCUGAUAUUCCAUGCUGCAAGAUGUGCCUUUCGAGGUGAGGCAAUCAACAUAUCAUUUGUUUGCCACAACUUCAAGUUGCUGAAAGUGUUGGAUUUAGAGUACAUUAACAUAGGUAACCGGUUUGCUGAGGAAAUGUCAUCGCUAGUCCAUUUAGAAUUCUUGGCAGCUCGAGAUGGAAUGCAAUCAAUUCCAUCAUUAAUUGUCAAUCUUGAGAAACUAAAGACAAGUGAAAUUUCUGCGAUUAGUGCAUUUCAGAACAUUCUAGGGUGAUCAGUAGGAUGUGAAUGGUGUGGAAAUCCCCUCUUGUUUUAGUUACAACACUUCAUUACUUGUUUUGGUUACAACACUUCAUUACAGAUGAUUCAGGUACAGUGGUGCAGCUCAUCUGCUGCUGAAUCAACCACUGAAAUCAAAGACAUGGAAGUCGAUGAGAUGGAAAAUUUCAACUUCAGCACUAACCACCAGACUGGGAUUCCUCUGCACAGCUAUUACUACUUGUCCAUUCUUGAACUACACUGUGGACUACAUAUAAAGUACUAGUAGACAAAUUAGAUUUUCAAAACAUAAUUAUUAAGAUUAGUUUAGUUACAUAACCCAUGAGAAAUGUUUGAUGAAGAGAACAAACUAAAAUAAAAGGUUAGGCGAUGGAACAAAAUACUCCCCUCUUUUUCUUUUUAUUUGCUCUUUUUGAUUUGGACCCACUCUUUAAUAAAGUUCUCACUCCUAAAAAAAAUUUAAAAUAAUUUUUCUAAUAUAUUCUUAAUUAAAUUUUAUAUCUUUUUCCAAAUUCUUGAUAACUUAAACAAGGAUAUAAUAGGAAAAUACUGAUCAAAUUAUCCUAAAAAAAUUGAAGGAACAAAUAACCUAAAAGAGCAAAUAAAAAAAGGAAUAGAGGGAGUAACACAUUUAAUUAAAAAUUAAAUAUUUUAGGUCAAAAAUAUGGUGUAAUUAAUACAGCAGUAAUGAAAUAUCUCAGGGAAUAUGACCCAUCACACAAGGGGAACUUUUUGAAUUAUUAAUCAAAAAGUCGUAAACUAAACUAGUAUAUGAUUAGAAAAAAAACUUUACAAAGUAUGAUUUCUUUCCAUUCAGAUAUUUAAACACCGAUUUUACUUUAUUUAAGUGUCGCCAUAUUUAUUUACUUUUUAUGUGCAUUGCAAGCAAUUGAAAAUUCACAAAAUAAAGUAUUCUAGUUUUCCACAACUAUCAACAACGUAACACUGCAGAUCUUUGCCAUAAAAAUUAUAACUAAAAUUCAACAGAUUAAAAAGGACACAAAAUACAUGCCUUAGUAAAAAAGUAAAAGGCAUGACAAUUGACAUGGUACUAAUUAGCACUGUGAUGAUAAAAAUUACUAGUGCUGUCUAUCUGAUUUCAUAUAUACACUGCUACAACUAGUUACUACUAUGUACAAGACAAAUUAACAUGGGCUAAAUUGAUCCUAUAUCAUCCUCCACAACCACCACCACCGCAAUCGCAACCGCCGCUGCCACAACCACCGACUCCGCAAUCGCAACCAGUACUAGCUGCCAUUCCUACAUACACGAUACUUCCAGUAUUUAAGUCUCCGCGGUUCCAUGAUCUAUUUCCUUUUGCUGUUGAUGAAUACACAUAUUUCUUCUGGGCUUUCGCUACGUUGACUUUGUCGUUUUUCUGAGCUUUAACUGCGUUGACCUUGUUAUUUUUGGUUGCUGACUUUUUGCUAACACACGAUCCCAUCACUACGAUGAAUUGAACAAGGAAUAAAACGGAUUGAUGAUAUGAAUUUUUGGGAAUUAAUUUUGUUUCUCUGUGUUGACAAAACGAUACAAAAAUCUUGAAGAAUGAACAAAGUUAUAUAAGUAUAAUAUAGGUGGGGAAUAGAGAUAAAGUCGGCAACGAAUCUUCCUCCGACGGAAAUAUAGUUACGUUAGGAUAUAUGCGUAGCUUUUGAGAUUUGUAAUUGGGACGUUUGAAAUUCUUCUAUUUACUGUUGUCAUGGUAAGAAUUUACCUAAUCCAAAAAUUAAUCAGAGUAUAAUUUGAUUCAGAUUUCUCUGUUAAUUUUUGACUGUUUGUGUGUCAUUACUUCUACAAAAAAAUAAUUAAUGCUCAGAAUAAAAUUUAAAAAAAUCAAUUAAUUUUCUUUUAAUUUUUUAAAAAUGGAUAAUUAGUAUUUAAAAUAAUUAUUUUUAGUAUAAUUAUUUUUUAACAAUGAAGGAAUAUUCGUUUUACUAAGACACAAGAUUUUUUAAAGCAUUGAAUAUUUUAAGAUGGUACAUUAGGCAAGCAAAAAUUUACUCAAACUCAAUAUUUAUACUAAACUGCUAAUACUCUUUUUAUUUUGACAUGUUUAUUUUUUGCACAUUUUUUAAUAAGAAAUUGAUAAGAAAUACAAAUGACUAAUAUGAUCCUAUUAAACUCAUAUUACAUAUUAUCAUUAAUCAAUUAUUCUUUUGGGCAAAUACCCCCCAAAUCUUUACCCCAAAUAUUUGAUUCUAUAUCAUAUAUAUCUCUCAUUCUAUAUUUAUUUCAAAAUUGUUUAAUGGAAUGGUUAGUUAUAAUUAAUGAGACAUUCCUCCGCUUUCAGGUGAAAGUGAAGAUAAAAAACAAGAAUCGAUCGUUCAAGUAUUCCAAAUUGAAUGGCAAAAUGACAGGAAGAGGGACAUAUAGAUGGGGUAUAGAUCCAUCUAUAUUGAAUUACGGAUUCCGAAAUGAUAAAAUCAAUUUUGAUUGGAUAAAUAAUGGUCGCCUAUAGAAGAUGGUUAAGAAAAUCAAAGAGGAGAAAAUACGUUUUCGAGAUAGGAAUCGGUAUCUAAUGAAUUCAAUGGUUCCAGUAUAAAUGAAAGAAAAAGAAGAAGGAAUGACAUCACAACGAGAUCCUAAUCUCAAAACAAAAAGAAAGGGGGAUAUGGCGAAAUCGGUAGACGCUACGGACUUAAUUGGAUUGAGCCUUGGUAUGGAAACUUACUAAGUGAUCACUUUCAAAUUCAGAGAAACCCUGGAAUGAACAAAAAUGGGCAAUCCUGAGCCAAAUCCUAUUUUCUGAAAACAAAUAAAGGUUCAGAAAAAAAGGAUAGGUGCAGAGACUCAAUGGAAGCUAUUCUAACAAAUGGAGUUAAAUGUGUUGGUAGAGGAAUCUUUACAUCGAAACUUCAGAAAGAAAAAGAAUGAAGUGAAGGAUAAACGUAUAUACAUACGUAUUGAAUACUAUAUCAAAUGAUUAAUGACGACCCGAAUCCCUGAUCAAAUCAUUCACUCCAUAGUCUGAUAGAUCUUUUGAAGAACUGAUUAAUCGGACGAGAAUAAAGAUAGAGUCCCGUUCUACAUGUCAAUACCGGCAACAAUGAAAUUUAUAGUAAGAGGAAAAUCCGUUGACUUUUAAAAUCGUGAGGGUUCAAGUCCCUCUAUCACCAAAAAGACUAUUCCAACCCCCAACUAUUUCUCCGACCCCUUUUUCUUAGCAGUUCCUAAUUACUUAUCUUUCUCAUUCACUCUAUUCUUUUAGAAAUGGAUUUUUAGUGUAAAUGGCUUUCUCUUAAGCCUUGUGAUAUAUAUGAUACGCAUAGAACUGAACAUCUUUGAGCAAGGAAUCCCUAGUUGAAUGAUUACCAAUAUCAUUACUCAAUACUGAAACUUACAAAGUCAUCUUUUUGAAGAUCGAAGAAAUUCCCCGGCUUUGAUAAAAUUUUUUAAUCGACUUUUGUCCUUUUAAUUGACAAAGACCUAUUGACAAAGACCCGUUUAUGUGUUAAGAUCAAAUUUGUUAAGAUAAAAUUAGAGUAACAAGCAGAGAACUGAGUAACAAGCAGAAAACUAAAAAUCCUCAUGUUAACGAACGGUUCCAAUUGGGAAGACCAGAGGACUCUAAAUCCUCCUGUUAACGGGGACUUAAAAUUCUCAUGUUCGAGGUUCCAAUUGGGAUUGGUAUAGCCCUGAAAAUCCUCGGGUUACCAGUCCCAACCUUGAUAAAAAAUCUGGAUUGGGAAUAGCCGGGAUAGCUCAGUUGGUAGAGCAGAGGACUGAAAAUCCUCGUGUCACCAGUUCAAAUCUGGUUCCUGGCACAUGAUUAAUUUGUAUGGGUCUCUCUUCACUAGAAUUAAUUUCUAAUUAAUUGAUAUGAAUCAACAUACAUAUUCUUUUAGAGUCUAGAUUAGAAUAAUAGCUUUAUCCAGUUUGGCGAGAUAUACCCCAUACUAUGUUCUAUAUGGGUAGAGUUUCUUAGAUAAAGUAUCGAAAAGAAUUGGAUUCUAUCUCCUCUUUUUUUUCUCCUCUCGUUCAAACGAAUUUGAAUACGUAAUACAUAUUCGAAAGGUAAAAUUGGUUAAUUGUUGAAAGGCUCAAAAGUCGAAUCCAGGGGGGUUGAAAUAGACAAGAUUCAACUCAGAUCCAAAGAAAUAGAAUUCGAUAUUCUAUCAUUUCUUUGUCUUUUCAUUCAUAUUCGAUUUCUUCAUUCCGGAUUUCUUCAUCCCUUCCUAUAUGCCCUUCUAGAACCCGUCUAACUAAUGUGCGCAGUACAAAGUUCAUGAUGCAGAACUCAUUUGGUUCAUUCUAUUGGUAUGACUCAUCCGAAAUAAGUAUCUUCCAAAUAAAUGUGAGAAUUACAAUGAAUCCCUAAUUGUCUUUUUUUGUUAGCCUAUUGAUAAUUCCCUAAAUUAGACCUGCUUAAUCUAGAACAGAACGUGCAAUCCUUGAAUAUCUUAAAUUGUCUAAGUGGAAAUAGCUUUCUUAUCAUUCAAUGAGCAUCUUGUAUUUCAUAAAAAUUGGGGGCAAUAUAAUCCUUACGUAAGGGCCAUCCUAUCCAACUUUCAGGCAUUAAGAUACGUUUCAAGCGUGGAUAAUUAUCAUAAGAGAUUCCCAACAUAUCAUAUGAUUCUCGUUCUUGAAAAUCCACAUUUUUCCAAACCCAGAAAACAGACGGAAUUCUAGGAUUCCUCCUGGAGGCAAAGACUUUUAUGCAUACCUCUUCUGGUUGAUCCACACCAUCCUCUAUUCUCGUAAGAUGAUACACACUAGCUAACAGCCCGCCAGGCACUAUAUCAUAGGCACAUUGAGAGCGGAGAUAAUUGUACCCAUAUACAUAAAAAAUGACAGUAAUGGAAUGCCAAUCUUCGGGCUUUAUUUGUAAAGUCUCUAUUUCUUGGUAAUCAAAGCCCAAAGAUCUAUGAAUUAGCUCAUGCUUGACUAGCCAAGCAGAAAAACGACCCUGCAUCUUUUUUAUCUCUUCUGCAUUUUUAUUUGUAUAAGUAUUUCAUAUUUACGAUUAAAUUUAUGAAAAUUGACCCACUACUUCUUAUUCUGGACAAAGAAAUCCUGUCUAAUUCACUAAUUCGGGGGAAAAUACUGAAUUUUUGUAUUUGAAAAAGAUUUCCGUAGGGAUCUCUGAAGUAGGUGGUGGUUGAUAAAGAACUCUUUGAUCAUAAUUUUCCGUAUGAAUACUGCGUCGAACAUGAAACUUGUGAUUGGUAUUAAAACACUGAUUCACUCGUUGAGACCUAAUUCGAUCUUCAUAGAGUUCUCGAGAUAUUUUCUUACGAAGUUUUGUUAUAGCAUCUAUAACCGCUUCCGAUUUAGGUGGGCAACCUGGCAAAUAUACAUCUACAGGAAUUAGCUUAUCGACUCCACGAACAGUACUAUAAGAAUCGGUACUGAACAUCCCAUCUGUAAUUAUACAGGCUCCCAUAGCAAUAACAUAUUUUGGUUCAGGCAUUUGCUCAUAUAAUCUCACUAAAGAGGGGGCCAUUUUCAUUGUUACUGUUCUAACCAUUAAAAUUAGAUCUGCUUGUCUUAGACUCGAUCUUGGUACUAGUCCAUAACAAUCAAAGUCGAAGCGUGAGCCUAUUAGUGAAGCAAAUUCAAUGAAGCAACAACUGGUACCAUAGAGAAGUGGCCAUAAACUAGAGAGUCUUGACCAAUUUGAAAGAUCAUUUAAUGUAGUUAAAAUAACUGAAUUUGGGGCUGUUCGAUCAAGUAAAGGAAACUGAAUGGAAUUCAUAACUGUCUCAAUCUUAUUUUUUCUGUUUUUCUUUUUAUUUUCUAAAUAUUCAAGAGCUAAGACCAUUCCAAUGCCCCCUUUCUCUAUCCAUAAACUAAACUAAUAAUUAAGAUAAGCACAAAAAUCAAAGCUUCUAUAAAUACAGAUACACCCAAUACGUCGAAACUCAUUGCCCAUGGAUAAAGAAAAACCGUUUCAACAUCAAAAAUAACAAAAACUAGAGCAAACAUAUAAUAACGGAUUCGAAAUUGUAACCAAGCAUCACCCAUUGGUUCUAUACCCGACUCAUAAGUAGAAAAUUUCUCCGACCCUUUGCUAAUCGGGGCUAACACUUCGGAAAUAAAAAAUACCAAAAUAGAAACAAGGAUGGAUAUUAUUAGAAAUUCCCAAAAAAAAUCAUAUUCGUAAAGCAAAACAUAAACGCACUCCUAUGAACGUGAAAAAUAUACCGAAUUCGAUUGGUCGAUUCGAAUUGUAAUUGUCAAGCCAUCCAUAACAAUAUUAGUCAAAACAAGAAUUCAUUUUGGUCGAACCGCCUAGUUUGGCUUUGUUUAUUGGUUUAUUGUAGGGCUUAUCUCAUUGCAAGAUUCAUCGACUGAAAUCCGAUUUUAUUUCCAUUAUACUUAUUUCCAUUUUAUUUAGUUAGUAGAACCUUCUAACUAUAUAUUACUCUUAUACAAAUUCUCCUCUUUCUCUUGUUUUUUUCUCUAAACUAAAGACGGGGAAUUCUAAAUUAAUUAAUUAUCUUAGUUCUUCUUUAAUUUUUCUUCUUUAAUUAGAAAUUCUUUAAAUAUUUCUAUUUUUUUCUAUAAAUAGAAUAAAUAGAAUCAGGAGGUCUUUAUUUUAAUUUUUUUUCUUAGUGAUUUAGUGAUCUAGAAUGGAACAAGUAAUCAAAUAGAAGAGAAUGUAUAGGAACUUCCAUCUCAAGAUUUAGAAGAUCUUGUGUUGGUAUAUUCCUUUUAUUAUUUUAUUAUUAUUUAAUAAUAGUAUUAGGAUUCGAAUCCAGGUGGAGGGGUUUUUCUUGGUUGAAUACAGAAAAAGAAGACUACCUUUUUUGUGUUGUGCUUCGCUAGGUCGAGGUAAGUAAGGUAUACGAAGGAAAAGCCUAUUUGAUAAUGAAAGUGACCAAAGAUAUUCGUUUUUCAAAAAACUUUAGCUUGUACACAAAUACAGCAGUCCCUUCCUAAAUCCAUGUGAAUUCCUCUUCGUAGUUUUUCAUUUCACCAGGCCCGUGAAAUGAUUUGACUUCCAAAAUUCAAUAAGAUUGGGGAUAUCAAAAGAAAGGGGGUCUCACUAAUUCUUUUAUUGUGGAUAUGAAUAUGUAAUUCGCCUCCGAAGAUUAAUGACGAAAGGUUGGUUUGUUUAUCUGCAAUUGAAAAAAUAAAUAUCGAUUGGAUCCAUUGAUAUGCGUUUUUUCUUUCAUCUGCUUAAACUUAAACGAUUGCCGUGAGUAAACUUAUAGGAAUAGUUGAAUUUCACUUAGUUACAAGCAAGAAAUAAUAAUGAAGAAAUGAAAAUUAUACAAAUUUUUUUCAUUUUUAUUUUAUUUUAUAGGGCUAUAUGGACUUGAACCGUAUACUUUCUCGGUAAAAUAGAUCAAAUUUAUUAUUAUUAAAAUGAUCUGAAUUGUUUCAAAGACCCAACAUGCAUUUUUUUUUUGCAUUGGGCUCUUUCAUUAACUGAUAUUUAUAGCAGUUAGUCUGCCAUUUUUUUUCUUGACAGAAAAAAAAAAAUAAGAAAAUGACUCCAUGUGCUUUGAUUCAUUAUUUGGGAGCAUUACCAAAGUGUUUCAAAGGUGGAAUUAUCUUGACGUAGGUCUGUCUCUGGCCUAAAUAAACCUAAGUUAAAUGAAGUCUCUAUCGUUUCUGCUUAAAAAAUCAAAUAUGAAACUUCAUACACCUUAAAUUUCAUAUGACGAGAAGAGAUUUUUUUGAGGUCCUUAUACUCUCAUUAUGCCUAGCAUUGAAUAGACUGGGUAUUCACCUUAUCAAGAUCUCAAAUCAAUGAUGGGGUCUGUUUAGCGCCUCCUAAAUGGACGUCCAAAUUAGACCGAACCCUUUAUUAGGCUAUGGUUCCCUCAAAGUUAUGGAGUAAGACAUCGAUUUCUCAACAAGAUCGAUUUUUCUGAUUGUAUGAUGAACUCCCUUGAAAAACAUUGGCGCGCGUGUAAACGAGUUGCUCUACCAACUGAGCUAUAGCCCUUAGUGCUUGUGAUACAUAUUUUAUCAUGUAGAUAAAUUCUUGUCAAGAUAAAUAUUCCAUGAUCCAACAUCAACAAUCUUUGAUCUCUUUGAGUGGUAUUCCUUAGAUUAGUAUUGCUUAUUAGAUUAGUAUUGCUUAUAAGUAAUAUGAUAUUUAUAAUCCAUCGACAGGAUGGGUUUCGUUUGGUUCUCUUUGGAAUGAUAAAUGACCUACUUAACUCAGUGGUUAGAGUACUGCUUUCAUACGGCGGGAGUCAUUGGUUCAAAUCCAAUAGUAGGUAAAACUUAUUAGAUACCAGAGUCAAUGGUAUCUAAUAAGGUUUACGACCCACCUUUAGCGAUAUUUAUUUUUUGAUUUUGUAUCUUUUCUAUUUCAUUUUUAAAUUUGAAUUUUUGCAUCAGAAUUGGCUUCUGUUUGAUUGCAUUUGAUUGUAUUCACCUGACAGAAUCUAAAUAGGAUUAGAAAGAGAACUUCUUUUUAUUAUUUGAACGUACUAACUAGUCAUACUAACUAUUUAUGAAAUCGGGUUGAUAGCCUCCACCCGUGUUCUAGCUAAUCGGAGAGCUAGAUUUGCCUCAAUUUUUUGUCUCCUUCCUUUACCCUUUUUCACAUUAGCCUCCGCUAUUUCAAGAGUUUGCUGAGCUUCUUGUGGAUCAAUGUCACUACCUUUCUCCACAUCAUUUACUAAAACAGUGAUCUCAUUAUUGCCUAUUCUGGGAAAACCACCCAUCAGAGCCAUCAUUAACCAUUGGUUGUUAAGGCGUAUUUGCAAAAUUCGUAUAUCUACAGCUGUGGAAAUAGGGGUGUGAUUUAGUAAUAUGCCAAUUUGACCACUAUUAAUAGAUAACACGAUUUCUUCUACUUCUGAAUCCCAAACAAUUCUAUUAGGAGUCAGUACACUAAGAUUUAAGGUCAUUUCUUCAAACUGCUCUCCAUUUCUACGUCCAUAGCCUUCGCGGUAGCUUCAUCGAUAUUACCUACCAAAUAAAAGGCAUGUUCAGGAAGACCAUCUAAUUCUCCGAAAAGGAUCAAUUGAAAUCCUCAAAUUGUUUCUGCUAGACCAACAGAUUUCCCUGGAGAACCGAUAAAUACCUCUGCUACGAAAAAGGGUUGUGAUAAGAUACGCUCAAUUUUUCGCGCUCUUGCUACGAGUAAACAAUCCUCUUCGGAUAAUUCAUCUAAUCCAAGGAUAGCUAUAAUGUCCUGAAGUUCUUUGUAACGUUGUAAAGUUUGCUUAACUCAUUGGGUGGUUUCGUAAUAUUCCUCACCAACGAUCCGAGGUUGAAGCAUGGUUGACGUUGAAUCUAAAGGAUCUACUGCUGGAUAAAUACCUUUGGCAGCCAAUCAUCUUGAUAGUACGGUAGUAGCAUCUAAAUGUGAAAAUGUCGUAGCAGGAGUAGGGUCGGUCAAAUCGUCUGUGGGUACAUAAACUGUUUGAAUAGAGGUUAUGGACCCUUCUUUGGUAGAAGUAAUUCUUUCUUGUAAAGAACCCAUUUCAGUACUUAGGGUCGGCUGAUAACCCACAAUGGAAGGCAUUCUACCCAAUAAGGCCGAUACUUUGAAUCCUGCUUGGACGAAACGGAAGAUAUUGUUAAUAAAGAGAAGUACGUCUUGCUCAUUAACAUCUCAGAAUUAUUCCGUCAUAGUUAGGGCAGUCAAACCAACUCUCAUACGAGCUCCUGGUGGUUCAUUCAUCUAACCGUAAACUAGGGCCACUUUUGAUUCUGCAAUAUUUUCUUCAUUAAUCACUCCAGAUUCUUUCAUUUCCAUGUAAAGAUCAUUUCCUUCCCGAGUACGUUCACCCCCUCCACCAAAUACGGAUACGCCCCCGUGAGCUUUAGCAAUAUUGUUAAUCAAUUCCAUAAUGAGUACUAUUUUACCCACUCCAGCUCCCCAAAUAGUUCAAUUUUUCCUCCAGGGGCUAUGAAUAGGAGACGUUGUACUAGUAUCUACAGGCCCUAAAUUAUCAACAGGCUCUCCGAGCACGUUAAAAAUUCAUCCUAGAGUCGCCCCCCCGACCGGAACACUUAUAGGAGCUCCUGUGUCAAUCACUUCCAUUCCUCUCGUUAAAUCGUCUGUAGCACUCAUAGUUAUAGCUCUAACUCGAUUAUUUCCUAAUAAUUAUUGUACCUCACAAACCACAUUAAUUGGUUGACCAACACUAUCUCGACGUUGAACUACGAGAGCGUUAUAAAUAUUCGGCAUCUUGCCAGGGGGAAAGGCUACAUCUAGUACCGGAACGAUGAUUUGGAUGACACACCCCAGGUUUUUUUUCAAGCGUGGAAACCCCAGAACCAGAAGUAGUAGGAUUGAUUCUCAUAAUAAUAAAAUAAAUAAAUAUGUCGACAUGUUUUUUCAAAAAUUAUCGAAUUCAAAGUAAAUGUCCGCUAGCACGUCGAUCGGUUAAUUCAAUAAAAUGGGAAUUAGCACUCGAUUUCGUUGGCACCAUGCAAUUGAACCAAUUCAAUUGUUUACUUAUUCAAUGAGAUUGAGUUAAUUUGCAAGCUCACCCAACCUAUUUUAAUUUAAAAAUCUCAAGUGGAUGAAUCAGAAUCUUGAGAAAGUCUUUCAUUUGUCUAUCAUUAUAGACAAUCCCAUCCAUAUUAUCUAUUCUAUGGAAUUCGAACCUGAACUUUAUUUUAUAUUUCUAUUACGAUUCACUAUUUGGAUCUAAUGGGCUCCUCUUCUUAUUUUUCUUAUUUAUUUUUUAGUUAAAUUUCAGCAUAUUGAUUUAUGCCUAGCCUAUUCUUUUCUUUGCGUUUUUCUUUCUUUUUUAUACCUUUCAUAGCGGAAUUCCAUAUAUUUUCACAUUUAGGAUUUACAUAUACAACAUAUACCACUGUCAAGGGGGAAGUUCUUAUUAUUUAGGUUAGUUAGGUAUUUUCAUUUUUUUAAAAAAGGUAAAAAAUAAAAAUUGGGUUGUGCUAUAUAUAUGAAAGAGUAUACAAUAAUGUUGUAUUUGGCAAAUCAAAUACCAUGGUCUAAUAAUCAACCAUUCUGAUUAAUUUAUAAUAUUAGUAUUAGUUGGAAAUUUUCUGAAAGAUUCCUGUGAAAAGUUUCAUUAACGCGUAAUUCGUGUCGAGUAGACCUUGUUGUUGUGAGGAUUCUUAAUUCAUGAGUUAUCGGGAGGGAUUUAUGUCACCACAAACAGAGACUAAAGCAAGUGUUGGAUUCAAAGCUGGUUUUAAUGAUAUGCAAGUUUACCUAUUAAAGUCCUUGGUUUCCAAUUGUGGCUGACAGGAGUAAAACUGUCAUUCCCUGGUGUAGAGGAUUAAUGAUAUAAGAGGUUCAUGGUGCCUGUACCUGUUAUCAGCUUGUCUGUUGUUGACUUUUGCGACUGUAUUAGUUAUAAUAUGAGGUUGAUAAAUUUUGUUAGCUGUAAAUUGUAUUUGGAGGUGGUUGUGUGUCUGAAGAAGAGGUGAACUAACACUAGAACAUCCAUUAUCAUUUUCCAUUUGGUACUAGUAUACCCAAUCAAAAAAGGAUGUUAUCCAAGCGCAUUUCAAGUGAUUGUAGUAAAACUUGACCCGUUAAUCCCUUGGAUUUUCUGGCGAUACGAACGUAUUUAAGUAAUUGUCGUUCUGUAAGACAAUAAUGAAAACACAAUUUUUAUUUUUCUUCUAGACGAAUACGAUAUUGAGAUUUUUUUCGGAACGCGAUUGAUUUCUAAGAUCAUUUCCGGUCCUAGGCUUUUUAUUAGUUAGUCCUGGUAAAGCCCUCAGGCGUCGUAUGUUUUUGAAACGAGGUCCUCGGUAACGCGACAUAAAGACUCCUUAUUCUCAUUUCUUAUUUAGUAUUUCGAAUUAAUUCUUAUUUCUAUUUAUUUUUUAUUGAAUUUUAUUUUACAGAAUAAACCUAAACUAACACUGAACUGAACUAAAUGAAGCGAAGUUUACUGAAAUGGUGUACUUGUACUAUUACUAUUUAAUAUAAAUACUAUAAAGAAAAGAAGAAUGGGGUGAAUUGGAUAUAUAUACAGAACCCUUUCUAUUAUAUAUAUAAUCCUUUUGUGACAUAAUUGGAAGUUCCUAUAAUAAAUUGAUAGCUUUUGGAAAAAGUUAUUCAUCCUUUACAUGUGGACAAUAAGCAUAGCCUCAAGAUUCAUUUCAAAUUAUUUAUAUAUGUCCAUGCCAUUUUGUAGGCAGAUAUACUAUAUACUGUCCUUGAAGGUUGUAUUUGAUAACCCCUACAAGCAAAUACCUAAAAAUAAGUCUAUGCACUUAACAAUAAUUUUUUCUUCUUCUUCUUCUUCAAGAAUUCAAUAAUGGCAUUUUCAAGAACUCAACAAAGACUUCCAAUCCAAAAUUAAUUUAUCAAACUUACAUACUCAUUAACUGAAUUACCAUACAAGAAUUUUUAAUUAUUCUUCUUCUUUAUUCAUUUUCUUUCUUCUUCUUCUUCAAGAACUCAAUAAUGGCAUCUUCAAGAACUCUACAAUAUCAUCCAAUCCAAAAUUAAUCUAUCAAACUUACAUACUCAUUAACCAAAUUACCAUACCAAGAAUCAUCGUUCUCCUGAAAUGAAACAUAAACUUCCAACAAUGCCUUGAAAUUGAAACAAUCAAAUCAACAUCAUAAUUAAAAUCAACACCAAUUUUUUUCACAAUCAUAAAUUCAACAUCAAUUUUCAUAGUUGAGAAUUUUUUUUUAAAAAAAAAAGGAACGCUGAAGGGUCAGAUGAGGUCACCAUGACUGAGUGGUCCAUUUUGAAGUUUUGGAAAUAGCAAGAGUGGAAAGUGAAGAAAUGGGUGGAAAACAAAGUGAAAUGAAAACUAAAGAAAAAAUUUUUUUGAGAAAGAAUGGCCAUAGAAGUGCUGCAAUGGAAGAGAAAAGUAAAAUAAAAAAGUUAAAUAAUUGAAUUUUUAGAGUAAAAAAAAGAAAAAAUGAUGUGGCAAGAAAAAAUGACUGACGAUGACGUGGCAGCGAGUGCAGCUCACUGCCUGAAAUAAUGUCUGGGCAUGAGCUUUUAGGGGGGGUAAAUAUUCCACUUUAAAAUAGUUCAGGGGGUCAUAGGACCCCCCGCAAAGUAUAAGUGUGUAGUUGGGAUUUGGGGUAAAGGUUGAGGGGUAUUUGAUCAUUUUCUCAUUAAAUUAUUACAACUUCUUUGAAGGUAGCGAUAUGAACUGCGUACAUUUUCCUCUCCCCAGAUCCCACUUUGUGGAAAUACACUGAAUUUUUUGUUGUUAUUGUUAUUAUUAAAUUAUUAAAAUAAAGUUAUUGAUUGUUUUUUAUGAAAUUACUAGGAUAAAAUUGAAAAAGGUUUGAGAUAAAAUAUGUGAAGUAAUAUAGAAGGGAAAUAAAAGGGAGGCAGUAUUAGUGUAUGUCCUUCGGCUUUCACGUUUUGUUUUGUUUUUCCCCAUUAAUUGUUUUGAUUUUUGUAUUUAAUAUUUUUUUCCGUUUAAAAAAAAAAAAAGCUACUUUGACUUAAUAUAGAGAAUUAGAAAAUAAAGAAGAUUUUUAAAUUUUGUAAUUUUAAAUUAAAGUUAUGUCAAAUACAUCAAAAUAUUUUUAAUCUUGUGGUCUUAAACAUGUGAUGUUGAAAGUUGAAUUAAAAGUAUUGUAAAAAAAAAAUGUCAUUCUUUUUUAAACAGAUUAAAAAGAAAAAUAGGUCAUUCUUUUGCUCAAGAUAUUAAUUGGUAAUAUUUUUAUUAUUUGUUGAGAUAAUACAUCAAAAUCCCCCUAAACUUGUCCCGACAACUUAAUUUAGCACUUAAACUAACCUUAUAUUUAUUUACCCUCCUUAACAUCUUUAAAGUGAAUUAAUUUCACCCCUUUAUAUAUAAUACCGCUCUCAUGAGGGAGAGUGCAUCACACUCGCUGACACAUCAGCGUCACGUCGGAGCCACGUAAAUAAACUAUUUUUUAAAUAUUUAUAUAUAUAUAUAUAUAUAUAUAUAUAUAUAUAUAUACACACACACACACAUAUUUUUAAAUAUAUAUAAAAUUAAAUUCAGAAAAUUACCCCCACCCCCCCCCCCAAUCCCUGCAAACACCCCCACUCCCAUAUAUAAAAACUGCCGCCACCCCUCCCCCGCCGUCCACCAACCACACCACCACAUCACCUCACCACCACCACAUAAUAUAUAUAUACAUAUUUUAAAAUAUAUAUAAAAUUAAAUAAAGAAAAUUAUCCUCACCCCCCAUUUUCCAUCUUCUUCACAAUCACCUUCCUAUCAAGGGUCAUGUCCUCCGUAAGUUGUUACUUCUCCAUAUCAUGCCUAAUCACCUCUCUCUAAUAUUUCUUCAGUCUACCUAUACCCCGCCUAAAACCAUCCAUAGAAAGUGUCUCGCACCUCCGCAAUGGAGUAUCAGAGCUCCUUAUCAUCAUGUGCCCGAACCAGUGUAACCUCACUUUUCGCAUCUUGUCCUCCACCGAGGCAACUCCACCUUCUCCCGAAUAAUCUGAUUCCUCACCCUAAUAUUGUACUCCCUCCAUUUUGGAAUAAGUGAAUUGUAGGAGUAUUUAUUGGUGUUUCAAAAUAAGUAAAUCAUUGAAUUUUUUUCUAAAUUUGCCCUUAUGAUUUGACAACCAAUUAACUUUUGAAAAGGUAUUACACUUUUUUUUUUGAGUAAAAAUGAAAAGUUAUGUUAAAUUUACGUUUUUAAUUUUUUUUUUUUUAAUAUGUGUUCAUUUAUUAUGAAACGGAGGGAGUAUCACUUUAUAAAAUUUUGAAGUAAUUUUGAAGUGAUGGGAUCCUAUAGAUAAAAAAACAAAGAAAGAUAAAAACAAAAAAAAGUAAAGAUGAAAAAGCAGAAGUGUAGAGUGAAUGGUUGAUCUAUCUAUUAGGAUGCUCUCAAAGUCAAAGGUGGUGCGAGUUGUAGAUAUGCUGAUAUAAUAGAUCAAAAAAUAUACCACAAAGUUUGUUGCAUUGAAGGUAAGUGUACCAAACCAUUCACUUUAUACUUCUGCUUUUUGAUCUUUACUUUUUUGGUUUUGAUCUUUGUUUUUUUUUUUAUAGGAUCCUACCACUUCAAAAUUUUAUAAAGUGAUACCAAAAGAUGGGUUUAUAGCAUCAAAGAUGACGAGGCGAGUUGAGGCAUCAAUUGCCAAAUCUGAUGCUGCGUUGGCGAUACAGGCAAGAACAAGCCUACUAGCGAGGGGCUGGAGGCCACGCUUGUAUUAUUGAAGAAGAAGCUAGACUGAUUUUUUACUUUCUAGUAUUAGUAGUACGAGUUAAUUGUUAAUGUUCGGAGCAUAUUAUGCCUAGUUGAUGUCCAGAGUUCAACAACCUCAAUACCACAUAAUGUUUUUGGUGAUUGGGGAAAAAAGUUGCGUGAGCCAAGAUAUAACAAAAAUAAUUGUAGUUACAUCCUAUCGUUUUAGUUAAUGUGUACCUUCCCAGACUAUAUAUUUUGCUUGUAGAUUUUUAACAAGCCUUAUAUAUAAUAGAAUAUUAAUGUCAUUUUUAUAAUAGAAUAUUAAUGUCAUUUUUUUCUUGUUUUGUCAUGGUUGUUGUUAGUAAUAUAUUUCACAUAGUAAUAUUAUUAUAUAUAAUAAUAAGGGUUGAUUCAACUUAAUAAUAGUUCACCAUGCAUUUUCAAUACAUUACAUUGGAUAUUAUUGUAAACGUACUAUUUAUUAUUUUAAAGAUUUGAAUAGUUUAAUUCAAAGUUUUAAAAUAUUUCUAUUGAUUGGUGAUUGUUUUUUUUUUUUUUAACUAUAUUCAAUAUUAUAAAAAAGAAAAGAAAAUCAUAAAGUCAAUAAUUAAAUUUUUUGGUGCCUUGAAAUUUUGAGAGCCUAAAAUAAAAAUUACUAGCUUCACUCUUGAGUAGAGCCGUCAAAAUGGGUUUGGCCUUGAGGCCGACCCAACCCAGCCCGCUAUAAGGGUUGGGUUGGGUUGUAAUUUUUGAGCUUAUUUAAAAGUAAAAAUUACAUAUAUAACGACAUGUUUACUACUACUUACUAAAAAUCUCAACUUUUUUCAAAAUCUCCUAAAAUCCCAACAUUUGACCUGUGAUGAUACAAGUUAAUCACAUUAGAUACAUACUGCUGAUACAUGUAUUAAUUAACUAAGUUAACACCUUUUAAGGAAUGUAAAAGAUAGCUUUCCAUCAAGUCAGCAUUAAAGCUAACUAAUUAAGACAAAAAUGCAAAAUCAAAUCCCACAAUUAAUGGGAAUCCGUUUAUUACUCCACUUUGUUAAAACAUAAACUCUCUUUUAAUAUAUUUUUGAAAUUGAAAAAUCUUCAUUCUUCUUGUUCAGAUAAAAUAUAACAUUUUUUUUUAUUUGUUAUUUUCGGUUGUUUGAUAUGAAUAUUUUGGUGGUUUUACGUUAUUUCGGUAUUUGGGUUAACGAAAUCGAGUAUGGUGAUUAUAAGAGUGAUGGAAUUCUGGUCAGUGAACUUGUUACUUAUGAAAAAAUGAUUUCUAUAAUUGCGGGAGAACUUGAAAUAAACAAGGAGAAAAAUAGACAAGAGUACUCUCAUUUCGGUUAUGGCGCGAUUUGCAAUUGAGCAUUCUUUCAAUUAAUAUGCCAUAAGAUCGGUCAAGAAAAGGUAUGUUAAAGUUUUUUUUUUUCUUUUUUGUAGCAGGUGUUGUUAAUUUGUUGUACAUUAAUUUAAAUUUGUAUUCAAUGUUUGGUUGAUGAUUAUUUUACAGAUUGUUUUUGUAUUUUUAUGUUAGUAACGCUGAGAUACAUUUUGUUAUGAAAAUGAUACAUUUUGUUAAUCUUGUAUCUCAGUUUAUGAAGUUUUGGUUAACUAUGUUUCUUGUUGUGUUUUAGUCAUGACGUUAUGUUAAUUUGGUCGAGAUACAUCUUUAUGAUAAAAGAUACGUUUUGAUCAUCUUGUAACUAGGUUAAUAUAUUGAUGUCUAAUUAUGUAUCUCGGUGAAUAUAUUGAUGUCUUAUUAUAUAGUUUGAAAGUAACUGAAGGUUAUAAAGUUGAAUUUUUGUUUUCAUUGAUUCAGUUAUGUCUUACGAUGCCAUUCAAAGGAUUGUGUUUGGAUAUUUAAAGCAUCAUCUCGGUAAGUUGUGUUACCACCUAAAUACAAACGUCAACCUGGAAGGCCAAAGAUAUAAUAGAAAUGUCCUAGAUACAUAGAAAUGUCCUAGAUACAUGUUGUAAAAUUUCCUAAAUACACGUUGUACAAGUUUCACGCCGAGCUACAUUUUGUUAUGAAAAUGAUACAUUUUGCUCCAUCUUGUAGCUCCAUUUACGAAGUUAUGUUUAAUUAUGUUUCUUGUGUUUUAGUUAUGACGUUAUGUUAAUUUGGUCGAGAUACAUCUUUAUGAUAAAAAAUACGUUUUGAUCAUCUUGUAUCUAGGUUAAUAUAUUGAUGUCUAAUUAUGAAUCUCGGUGAAUAUAUUGAUGUCUUAUUAUAUAAUUUGAAAAUAACUGAAGUUUAUAAAGUUGAAGUUUUGUUUUCACUGAUUCAGUUAUAUCUUACGAUGUCGUUCAGAGGAUUAUGUUUGGACAUUUAAAGCAUCAUCUCGGUAAGUUGUGUUACCACCUAAAUACAAACGUCAACCUGGAAGGCCAAAGAAAAACAUGCACAAGAAAUCAAGUGAAACAAUGACAUCGAGCAGUAAUUGUUUCGGAAAAUGUGGUUAUGAAGGUCACAACAGGCUCACUUGCAAAUUCUUUCCAAAGAAGGAGCGACAAAUGUAGUUUACUAAUGAAUAAUGUUGAAUAGUUUCUUGGAAUGUUGCUGGAUUUUUUAUCUAUUUUGUUCGACAUUUUAGUUGAUGAGAUUUUUUAUUUUUUAUGAAAUUUAGAAAAAGACAUUCACCGAAAUAAAUAGCAUUCUUUGUUAAUUUGUUAUUUAGUUAUAUAUGUUUUGAUGGUGUAUUUUUUCGUAACACAUAAAGUAAAAAUUUAGAUAUAUUGAACUGACAAUGUUAUUUUACAUUCUAUUAGUAGUUCUGUCAUAGUGAACAAUAGAAAAUAGAUACAUUCUUAUAGUAUGUAUCUCCAUUAAAUACAAAUAUACAUCAUUUGUAAAAUUUCAUUUGUCAAUAUUAUUAAGAUUUAGAAAUAUAAGUUCUGCUAGAAUUUGUUAUGCAGGUUAUAGUCAAACAUUUUUUUCGAUUAAUAAAAAGGGUUGUACAUACAUAAAAAUGUAAUAAUUUGUUGGUUACUAUGAUUAUAUACUAAAAUAAUUUUCUUAUAAUAGAUACAUACAAUUUGAGAAGAUGUAUCUCAUAUAAAGUAAUAGAUACAAGAUCUAAUAAUUUGUUUCACAUAUAAAAUGUAAUAGGUUAAUAUUUUUAAGAUUUAGUUCUAUUAAGUUAUGAUAUAAUUUGGUAUGCAUGUAAGUGACAGCAUGAAUUAUCUAUAACAAAAAACUGUUAUAGAUACAUAAUACGACAAUGUUGUGAUGGUUAAUACCUAUAUUGUAAUAUAUCUUUCUUUAUAUUAGAUACAUAAAAUUAUAAAGUACAGUAAAACAUGUAGCUAAUACAAUGUCUAUAUAUUGCAUGGAAAAAAUAUCAUAAUGAUAACAUAAAUAUAUCUUUAUGUUAUUUAGCAUUGCGUUAGAAUGUUAAUGCAAAUAGAAGUAACUAUUCUAUUAAAAAAACUUAAUGUGUACUUGUCUAAACAUUACUAACAUCAUCAAAGUUUAUAUCAUCAACAACGUUUUUGUGAAGAGGCCAUUGAAUCGUACACAUGAAUGUAUCGAUCCUUUAAUGCAAUGAUUGUCAAUAUCCGGUGAAAGGCACUGUCACAGUUAAUUGGGAUAAAGACCUCAUCAACCAAAUGCCAAGGUUGACCUGCGCGUGGACUGAAUCCCUUGAUGGUGUUAAUCAAUGUCAUCUCCAUAUCAACAACCUUAUCAGUCUUUGCAGAUAUAUCUUGUGUGGCAAACUUGUUGCCAGCGUCUGCAUCAUAGUAAUUCACAUAUGCCUUAUCGAUGUACACUUUGAAAAAGCAAUCUGUAAUAGUGUAUCUCUUGCUUGAAAAAUUCUUGUUCUUGUACUUCUUCCUCAAGUAGAACAUGAUAACAUCCAGAUGCUGUUCAAAUUGCAAACAAAUGAAAUAUAUGUUACAUCAGCCUAUUGUAAUCAUUAAAACUGAAAGAGGUAAAAAUUAAAUGUUUUAUGUAUCUAAUGUGAUUAAUGCAGGUAAUAAACAAUUGUUUCAGAUAAUGAACAAGAUAUAUAUUAAUACAGAAAGAUACAUGUUUUGUUAUUAUGUAUCUAAUACAAAAUGGGGCUAUUCUAGCUACUGUUUGGUCAUGUGCAGAAUUUAGGAUGCACAAGAGCUCCCCAUCUAAGGAUUUAAGAUUAAAUUAACUUUUAUAAAUAAAUAAUGUAAAAAUGUUUUUACAUUAUCAAUGCAUUUAACUUGUUAUAACAUACUUGUAACGUAAUUCAAUCCCUAAAAACAAAAAAAAAAAUUAAAAAAAAUUAUUUGAGAUGCAAGAAAUUUACUCUAAGACAGUACAAUAUAUAUAAAAGCACUAAGAACAUAAAAAAUUAGAUAUAAGAUUAUACAAAUGUAUCUUUAAUCUCUACAACAUGUAUCUCAGCGUGAAAAAAUGUAUCUUGUGUAAUUCUACUUUCAAUACCAUUUAAACAACACAAGAAAACUAUCAAAAAAUUAACAAUAACUCACAAAUACAAGUUAAUAUAACAUAUAUCUUAGAAAUAAAAACAUGUAUAUAUUAUAUUUAGACUUUAAGUAAAAUUGAACAAAACUAGUUACAAAUCAAAGCAAUAAUGAUCACUCAUAUAUACAAGUCCACUUAACAUGUAUUUAUGUACUUAUGAACUUGUAUUUUGAUAUAUUAAUUUCAAUAAAAAAUAAAAUACACAAGAUACAAAUAACUUAGCAACAAAAAAUAGAUAAACAAUGAAAUUUUAAACGUAUCAUGCAACCCAAAAUAUGUAUCUCAGCCUAACAUUCAAUAGAUUUGAACAUGCAAUUACCUUGGGAAGUUCAUCUCUGGAAAUUGCUUUGACAAUUCUUUUUCUUUUGGCAGGAACUUUACUUUCAGGACUGUUGGAUCCUUUUUUGUUAGAACCACUUUCUUUUUUCUUGUCCUUAGAAUGCUUUUGCCACAACUUCCUCAUAAUUUGGGGAUCGUUUCUAUACUUUAAUCUAUUUUCAUCAAAGUCAACAAAUUCAUAAUCAAAACUUCUGGAAACGAAGUUAAAAACUUCAUGAGAUUCUUUGAUACUUUCUAAUUGAGAAACCCGGAUAUUAAAGGAAGGUCCCAAAUCUCUAUUCAAAAUGGCAAUUCAAACAAUGAAGCCUAAAAAAUAAUUAAUCGAAGAAAUUGCUCAACCAAUUACCCAAAUUUUACUCUGUAAACUUAGGCGCGAAAUAUUUUUUUUUGAAAAAAAAAAACCUAAAAACAAUUAGAAGAAAUUGAAGUGGAUUUUAGGGAGGAAAAUUACCUUGCUUCAAAUUUUGAAUUGAAUGAAGAAGUUGGAUAGAAACCGCUCCACCAAUUGUGGCGUACAAAGAGGAAAAACGGAGUUAUUUUUUAUAAAGAAUCUUUUUUGUACCAGCAAAGAUCAGUCGUUGUUGAUCCGGUGGAAUACCUUCGUUGUCCUGAAUCUUGGCCUUAACGUUGUCGAUGUUAUCACUGGAUUCAACUUCAAGGGUUAUCGUCUUACCCCUUAGGGUUAUUGUCAAUGGCCUCCCACAGAAAAACUUUGCAGCAAAAGCAUAUUGCAAAUUUUCCUCUUUAAUAUAACCUUGAAUGUAAUAUCAGAUGGUUCAAAUACAAUAAUAGGUUCACUAUUGAUUAUAUCAACAGAUUACAAUUGAGAUUCCUUCCCAGAUGUGCAAGGAGUUGAUUUGAAUAGUGUCGCAUAAGUUUGUGUACCUAGAUCGUUUGGGGUAAAGCAGCUGCAGUCAUGGGGGGCUAAACUUCCGUUGAGAUCGCCUGGGAGAAGAGAGAGUAAGAGAGCUAGGAUUUUUUUUAUCUUAUUUUUGAUAAGAAGACAGUGAAUAUGAAAUUUUACUUUAAUUCAAAAGUUUGAAUUAGAGGGAAAGAAUGGAUUGAAACUGCAGCUGAAAUUAUGACAUACAAUGAGGAAGAAAAGGGGGUCUUGUUUUGGUAAAGUAAAGCGUAUGAAUAGGAGAUCUUAAACUUGUAUCUCAACUUUUAGUAAAACCCAAGUCAGCUCGCAAACCCUCAAGCUUUGACUGAGGCUGGCUUGGGCCGGCCCGCGGGUCAAACUACUAUUUAAUUUAUAUUAAAAAUAUAUGAAUAUUGUAAAAGAAAAAGUAAUAAUUAAGAAUAGUAGUUAUUGAAUAAAAUUAAUAUCCUACAUAAUAUUUAACUUAUUAAAUGUUAAACCUUAAUCAUCAAGUAUUGAUGGUUCAUUUGUUAUUGUUAUUCAAUUUAAACUUACAAUUAAAGAAAAUUGUAAGCAAAAAGAAUUAAAAAUAUAAAUUGUGAUUACUCAAUAAAUUUUACCUAGUAUCUUACACAAUAUUUUACUCAUUUAGCACUAAAUGACAAAUAUUAAAAUUUUUAAUCAUAAAUAUAAAAAUUGCACACUUCAUGAAAUGUUUAAACACUUGUUGCAGCUACUCAAAAUCAAUUGCACAACAUUACCCAAAUUCAAAACGAUAAUAUUUUUAAUUGAAUUUUAUAUAUUAUUAAUUUUUGAUAUAUAACUUCUUGAUAGGCAAAAUGACCUUUUGGACUCCUGUACUAUGUCGGUUUUGUAAGUUGGACACUUCUACUUAUAUGUUUGUCAUCUGGACCUCUGAACCCACUAAAAAGCAAUAUUUUAAACCCCUUUUUGGUGAGUGUAACACACUCUCCCUCACGUCAGCUGCCAAGUCAGUUGUCACGCCUGAUACGUCUGCCACGAUUUUUUUUUAAUAUACAUUAAAUUCCAAGUCAUUUUUAAAAUGCUACAUAACAAAUUAAAUAUUAAAAUUAAUUUAAUUAAAUAAGAAAAAUUUAUAAAUUGGAGAAAAAUUUGAAUAAUCAUGUUUUUAUUUUUGCUCACAAAUUAAACAUCAAAUCCAUUCCAAAUNNNNNNNNNNNNNNNNNNNNNNNNNNNNNNNNNNNNNNNNNNNNNNNNNNNNNNNNNNNNNNNNNNNNNNNNNNNNNNNNNNNNNNNNNNNNNNNNNNNNNNNNNNNNNNNNNNNNNNNNNNNNNNNNNNNNNNNNNNNNNNNNNNNNNNNNNNNNNNNNNNNNNNNNNNNNNNNNNNNNNNNNNNNNNNNNNNNNNNNNNNNNNNNNNNNNNNNNNNNNNNNNNNNNNNNNNNNNNNNNNNNNNNNNNNNNNNNNNNNNNNNNNNNNNNNNNNNNNNNNNNNNNNNNNNNNNNNNNNNNNNNNNNNNNNNNNNNNNNNNNNNNNNNNNNNNNNNNNNNNNNNNNNNNNNNNNNNNNNNNNNNNNNNNNNNNNNNNNNNNNNNNNNNNNNNNNNNNNNNNNNNNNNNNNNNNNNNNNNNNNNNNNNNNNNNNNNNNNNNNNNNNNNNNNNNNNNNNNNNNNNNNNNNNNNNNNNNNNNNNNNNGAGGAUGGGCUGGGAUGGAAAAAAUAUUUUUUAAAAAAAAAUUUUAAAAUGAUUUUUAAAUUUUUAAAAAUAUUUUUAAAUUAUUUUUUAUUUUUUUCAAAAUAUUUUUAAAAUUUUAAAAAAAAAUUAAUUAAAAAAGAUGGAGGGAAAAAAAGGAACCUUUUUUAUUUUUUAAAAUUUUUAAAAAUAUUUUUAAAUUAUUUUAAAUUUUUUUAAAAAAAUUUAAAUUACUUUUAAGUUUUUAAAAAUAUUUUUAAAUUUAAAAAGAUUGAGGAAAAAAAAGGACCCCUUUUUAUUUUAUUUUUAAAAUUUUAAUAUUUUUUAAUUAUUUUAAUGUAAAAUUGGCCAAAAACUGACCCCACUCGCACCCAGACGAGUGGCUACACUCUCUUUGUCCUAGUCACCAUGACCUUGCCACAUCAACAGUCAAAAGGUGCAAAAUGUUGCUUUUUGAGGGGUUCAAAGGUCCAGAUGACAAACAUAUAAAUAGAAGUGUCCAACUUAUAAAACCGACAUAGUACAGGGAACCAAAAGGUCAUUUUAUCUUUUAUUUUUUAAAAAUUUUUAAAAAUAUUUUUAUAUUAAAAAAUAUGAAGGAAAAAAAAGGACCUUUUUUAUUUGUUUUUUUAAAUAUUUUUAAAUUAUGUUUAAAUUUUUUAAAAAAUUUUAAAAUUUAAAAAGAUUGAGGGAAAAAAAGAACCCUUUUUUUUAAAAAAAUAAUUAAUAUAUUUUUUAAAUUAUUUUAAUGUAAAAUUGGCCAAAAAUUGACCCCCACUCGCACCCCCAGGCGAGUGGCUACACUCUCUUUGUCUUAGUCACCAUGACCUUGCCACAUAGGCAAGGUCAACGGUCAAAGGGUGCAAAAUAUUAUUUUUUGAUGGGUCAAGGGUCCAGAUGAUAAACAUGUAAGUAGAAGUGUCCAACUUACAAAACCGACAUAGUACAGGGGUUCAGAAGGUCAUUUUGUCUUUUUGAUAUUGUUCAACUUAUUAAAUUUGCAUAUGAAUUUAGACGAAUGUUGACGUUAAUUAAGAUAAUGUAAUUAAUGAAUUCAAAUGUGUUUGACAAUGUAUUGGUGUUGAAAUAUUAUAAAUUCAUCGUAGAAUUAUGUACUUUAUAUAAUAAUAUGUUAGAAGUGCGAAUGAAUUGUCUUAUCUUUUAAUAUAAAUGCAUCCUGGCUAGUGCAACGGUAACUCAGAAUCUUGUGGUGGUAGAACUAUAAAUCUCUUUUGUGGUUUAAAAUUAGUCUACCUCUUUUAUUUUAAUUUUUAACUUGCUUAUUAUUAAUAGAAAAAAAUUAUAAUUUGAUUAAUUUACCUUAAUUUUAAGACAUAAAGAUUUUAAAUUUUCAGAAAAAGUCCUAAAUAUAAAAUUCAAUCUAAAAGUUUGAAAAUAAAACUUGAAAAUCCCAACCAAAAAUUCAACAAAAUCUAGGUUUUGAUUUUUUUCAAAGCUUCGGUAGGUUGCAAUAGAAAAAAAUAAUGCAUUUAUUUAAUUUUAUAUAUUAUUUAUUACUUCGACUCUACGUUUCAAAAUAGUUGAUCUUGUUGACUUGACACUACCCUUAACAAAAAAUUUAAUAGGUCUUAAUUAUAUUUUGAAAAUACAAAUUUGAACAAAUAAACUUUAUUUAGUCAUUCAGUGAUAUGAGUAAUAUUGAAAGAACAUAAUAAUAUUUUCUUAUUUUCAUAAAAGGAAUAACUUAUAAAUGUAUUGUCUUUUGAUUAUGUUUCUAAAUAAAUAUUUUUACCGUAAUCUUCCUAAUAUAUCCUUACAUUAUUAAUAUUUAACUCUUUUAUUUUAAAUCUAAUCAAUGUCAACGUAAAGUGGUAUAAAUUUUAUUUAGGGGAAAGUUGGUAAGAAUACAUUUAAUUUUCUAGAAAUUUUCUAGGAGUUUGUAGUUUAUUAUAGGGUUAUAACAAAUCUAAAACAUGCACUUAUUUAGGAAUAGAAGAAGUAUACACUUUUUCAAUCUAUAUAUAAUCAAUGCAACACUCUAUUUCGUAUUAUGCUAUGUAUAACAUGAAAAAUUAUGAUAUCAGCAAUAUAAAAGAUUUUAAUGCAUAGAGUAUGAUUAAACACACAAUUAUCCCUUAAAAUUCUUUUUCCACAUUCUUUCUAUGAUAUUUGUGAAGAAUAUUAUGCAAUAUAUAUUAUUUUCAACACACCUCAUCAAAAUACUACCUAAAAAAUAAUGUCAACAUAAAACUAACAAUAUUAUUAAUACAGUCGUUAUUCUACCAAGCUACCCUAGUUGUUAUGGAAUGAACUGUGAGCCUUGGACUAAAUCCGAUCAACUUAGCAAACUUAAAGGGCUAGUAAUGCCCAUGGUUAUAUAUACAGAGGCACCAAAUUAGAGCUACCCCUAUAUUUAAAGGACUAUAUUGGUAUUCUUCUCACAUUAAAGAUUGCUCUCCCAACAACAACAGCACUGGAAAACAAAGAAAUGGCUGAACAUGUAGAGAGCAAAAACACAGUUAUCUCCGAAAAAUUGUCUGCAGAUUCAAUUUCUAAGACGAAUGGAUUCCUUAAAAGCAUAGGGGUUUUCAACUUUGACUUUCCUGACCAAUAUGAAACCAAAGACUCUUUUUCUGAACUCACACGUGGCUUCCUCAAGGUCCAACACAUCCACCCUGGCAAGAUUUCUUGUAUUAUCUCUGUCAAGCCUCCUAUCUUGGUAAAUUAUUGAGUUCUUACUGUUAGGGUUUUGUUAUAAUGUGUUAUUUGGUUGAAAAGAUUUGAGUCCUUUUUUUUUUAAUUUUGUUUGGUUCCCACUUUCUUGGAAUACGCCAGAUGUUUGUCUGAUUGCUAGAUGUAUCAUCAUCAUAGAUGAUACUACGUUGUGUGUCACAAUGUUUGAUAUUUGUAGGAGCAGAAGGUUUGGGCUUGUUGGUGUGUCUUUUUGUUUUUUACCGUAUCUUUUAUUCUUGAUAGACGUGAUCCUAUACAUUGUCAUGUAAUCACUAUUCAUAAAUUUUUUAAUUUAAUUUUUAUUUUUAUUUGGCAUAACGUUUUAAGAUUUUUUGAAGUCUCCAAAAAUCAAAUUAAUUGUGUGAGAAUUGAUAAAAUAUUUAUACCAUUCGUUAAUCUAUAAAAAAAAAUACUCCUAUAAUAUUGGAGUAUUUUGAUUUGAGAUAUUAUUUUUAAAAAAGUUUAUGAAUAUCUUUGAAAUAUUGUUCUUAACAUGGACUGUUUUGAUUUGAAAUAUUUUAAUUUGAAAAUUAAUUUUUGUUGGAAUUCAAUCCAAAAAAACCAAUGAAAGGCUGCUAUACGUUUAAGCCAAUUUGGUAUCAUUAAAAUAAUUAUUUCACUAAUAUUGAAAUUUGGCUUUACUUAAAUAACAUGACACAAUUAUUAAUAAGAGCAAUAUUAAAAAACUUUAUUAUCAAUUAUUAUUUCUUAAUAAACGUGUCAUUUUUGUGAUGAAUACAAUCGAAUGAAAAAAGUAUUAACAAAAUGAAAACUAUUAUCAUGUAGUAUUGAAUCCUACAAGAAAUUGGUAGACAAAAAAAGAAGAAGAGUAUUGAUUUUGAUAUUUUUCAUCUUUGUUAAAAGAAAAUAAUCUUUGUUUGUUGGUGUAGAUAUAAGCACUUAAAAUCUUGUAGAAGAAGUAAAACUUUCGAUAAAAUUACGAGGAAGAUAUAUAUGGACUAUGGUCAUGCAUCCUAGUUCCUCCAAUGAUAUAACUCCGGAAUCCGGAUCUUGUGGUGCUGGGACUAGGAUUAUGAAUAUCUUUUUGUGGCUUAAUAUUUGUUCUAACUCUUUUAUUUUAAAUUUUUAACUUGUUUAUUAUUAAUAGAAAAAAAAUUAUAAUUUGACUAAUUUACCUUCCUUUUCAGACAUAAAGCUUUAGACUUUCAGAAAAAGUCCUACAUCCCAAAUUCAAUCUAAAAGUUUUGAAACCAAAAAAUUCAACAAAAUCAAGAUUUCGAUUUUUCAGAAAGUUAGCUUUGGUAGGGUGGAUUAGGAAGAUUAAUUAUGCAUUUAAUUUUGUAUAUUAUUUAUUACUUCCUUCAUUUUAAAAUAGUUUAUUCUUAUAAAUUUGAUACUUUUUUUUAAGAAAAAAAUUAUUAGGAAUUAAUUAUACUCUGAAAAUAUAAAUUUAAGCAGAUACACUUUAUUAAGUCAUUUAAUGAUAUGAAUAAUAUUAUAAAAACAUAAUAAUAUUCUCUUGAUUUUAUAAAUAACUAAAUUAAAAUAAAUAUUUUUAAAAAACAUGUCAAUUAAUUUGGAACGAAGAAAGUAAGUACAUGUUUUGUCUUUGAUUAUGUUUUUAAAUAAAUAUUUUAAUCAUAAUCUUCCUAGUUUAUCCUUGCACCAUUAAUGUCUAACUCUUUUUUUAAAUCUAAUCAAUGUUAAUUUGAAAAGUGACAUAAACUUAAUUUAGGAUUAAAUUGAUAAAAAUACAUUUUAUUUUCUAAAAAUUUUCCAGCAAGUAGUUUAUUAUGGGGUUUGACAGAUCUAAAAGAUGCAUUUAUUCAGGAACAAAAGGAGUACACAUUUUUUCAAUUUAUGUAUAAUUAAUGCAACACUCUAUUUUGUAUUUUGUAAAACAUGACAAAUCAUGAUAUUAGUAAUGUCGAGGAUUUUAAUGAAUGCAUUAGCAGAGCAUGAUUAAAGAUACAAUUAUCCGUUAAAAUCUUUUUCCACAUCAUUUCUGCAGUAUUUGUGAAGGAUGUUAUGUAAUAUAUAUUAUUUUUUAUAUACCUAAUCAAACACUACAUAAGAAAUAAUAUCAAAAUAAAACUAGCAAUAUUAUUAAUGCCGGCAUUAGUCUUAUACAUUCUACCAAACUAUUGUAACUGUAAUGGAAUGAAGAUUCUGGGAGCCUUGGACUAAAACCGAUCAACGUACCAAACUUAAAGGGCUACUAAUGCCCAUGGUUAUAUAUAGAAGUACCAAAUUAGAGCUACCCCAUAUUAAAUGGAUUAUAUUGAUAUUCUUCUCACCUAAAAUUGCUCUCCCAACAACAACAGUACUAGAAAUCAAACAAAGAAAUGGCUGAAAAUGUAGAGAGCAAAAACACAGUGAUCUCCGAAAAAUUGUCUGCAGAUUCAAUUUCUAAGAUGAAUGGAUUACUUAACAGCGUGGGGGUUUUCAAUUUUGACUUUCCUGACCAAUAUGAAACCAAAGACUCUUUUUCUGAACUCACACGUGGUUACCUCAAGGUCCAACACAUCCACCCUGGCAAGAUUUCUUGUAUUAUCUCUGUCAAGCCUCCUAUCAUGGUAAAUUAUUGAGUUUUUAAUGUUGGUUUUUUGUUAUAAUGUGUUUUUUGGUUGAAAGAUCGAGUCUUUUUAAAUUUUGUUUGGUUUCCACUUUCUUGGAAUUUGCCGGAUGUUUGUGUGAUUGCCGCCUCCAUUCACUUUUACUAUGUCAUAUUUGGAUUUGGUACAGGAAAUUGUUGGGAAAAGCAAAAUAAUCUCGCCCAGGAUAAUAUAUCCACACAAAUAGCAAUAACAAGAGAGUAACAACGACACCAAAUAUUAUAGCGGGUAAAUAAAAUACCCAAUGGAGUAAUAUAAUAAUACUGAUUACAACUUGACAGUGUCAAAAGACUACUACUCUUUAUAAACGAAACAACACUCCUUUUAUUUCUCACAACUCACAGACUAUAAAAUAUCUGCGGAUUACUUUUAUUCUCUCUAUUGCUCUCUCAAUUUUGGUGUACUGAAGAGAGGUGGAGCUAUCUCUAGUUGUAAGUAGAAAACAAACCUGCAUUGAUGUUAUCAAUGACAUCAACACACUACUCUGCCAACCAAAUUUGAUAAGAAAACAAAUUGCAUGCAGUAAUGUUGGACUAGCCAACAAAAUUUAACAAACAAAAAUUCAGUAAUUUUAGACUAAUCUUUAACCAACAGAAUUUGACAAAGAAUGCAUGAAUAAUGGGGCUGGACCCCACAAAUCUCUCCCUUAAUUUUUAUUUUUCUUCUUCAUUCCAAGACUUGAUCUCAAUCUCUGAAAGUCUUCAAACUUGAAAGGCUUUGUGAAAAUAUCUGUUACUUGAUCAUGGGAUUUCACGUACUUGAGAUCUACCUCUUUCUUGGUAAUUUCUCUGAUGAAUGAUACCUUGUAUCUAUGUGCUUAUUUCGAUCAUGAUAUAUUGGAUUCUUGGAAAGAGCAUGUGCUGACUUGUUAUCAACACAAAUCAUCGUGGCUGCAGUCUGUGGUAAGUUAAGCUCCUUCAAUAAUCUUCUCAACCAAAUGGCAUGGCACGUACAUAACGUUGCUGCCACAUAUUCAGCUUCGCACGUUGAGAGAGUAACAAUGAUUUGUUUCUUUGAACUCCUAGAAACAACACAAUCACCCAAGAAAAACACAAAACCUGAUGUGCUUUUUCUAUCAUUCAUAUCUCCCGCAUAAUCGCUAUCACAAAAUCCCACAAGGUUAAAAUCAUCAGAAGAAGAAUAAAAUAGUCCAAGGUCUACCUUACCUUUUAGGUAACGAAGAAUUCUUCUAGUAAUUUUCAAGUGAGUGGAGGUAGGAGCUUCCAUGAAUCGACUUACAACUCCAACUGCAAAAAGUAUAUCUGGUCUCGUACAGGUCAAGUACCUCAGACUUCCCACGAGACUUUUGAAAUGAGUGGAGUCCACUUUUUCACUAUUAUCAAACUUUGAUAAUUUUGUUCCACUUUCCAUUGGGGUGUUCACAGGAUUGCAAUCAAAUAUGUUGAAUUUCUUCAAAAUCUCCUUUGUAUAGGUUUUUUGAGAUAUGAAGAUGCCUUUCUCUAUUUGCUCAACUUCUAGGCCCAAGUAAUAUGACAUGAGACCUAUGGCCGUCAUCUCAAAUUCAAGGGACAUAGUUUUCUUGAAAGCUUCAAACAAACAUGGAUUAUUACCCUUCAGAAUAAGAUCAUCAACAUAAAGACAAACAAUCAUAACAUCUCCAUUAGUAUGAACUUUAAUGUAGAGAGCAUAUUCAUGGAGACAACGAGUAAACCCAUUUUCUUGAAAAUACUUGAUAUUGCGACUGUUCCACGCUUGUGGAGCUUGCUUAAAUCCAUAUAAAGUUUUUCUCAAUUUCAACACUUUAUCUUCGUGAUUCUUGACCACAAAGUCCAAUGGUUGUUCAACAUAGGCUUCUUCUUCUAGCUAUCCAUUGAAAAAUGCCGACUUGACAUCUAGUUGAUGGAUUUUCCACUUCAUUUGUACCACCAAAAAGAUCAGCAGAUGUAUUGUCUCUAUGCGGGCAUCAAGUGCAUAGACUUCUUCAUAGUCAAUGCCUUGUCUUUGCUUGUAGCCUUUAGCUACGAGUCUUGCCUUGUAUCUCUCUACCUUUCCAUGAGCAUUCUUCUUUGCCUUGUAUUCCCAUUUGACUCCAAUUGCUUGAUGAUCUUUAGGAGGAGUUGUUAACUCCCAAGUGUUGUUCUUUUUUAUCGACUGAAUUUCUUCCUCCAUGGCUUGUCUCCACCUUUUGUCUGUAACAGCUUCAUCAAAAUUCAUUGGUUCACUGUCAGCAUAGAGACAACACAAAAAAUCAAAAUUAGUAACUUCUUCUGUGUCAUCAUAGAGUUCCUGGAUGCUCCUCAUCCUCUGUGGCCUUUCACUUGAACUCUGAUCUUGAGAAGAAGGAGAUGCAACAUUUUUUGGUAGGGUUGCAUCCUGUGCAGGUGCCAUGGUAUCCUGCUCUUCAUCUCCGAAGUAUGGAAGAAAAUCAUAUGUUCUUUCUUUUUGAGCCUCCUGGCCUUCCCAAUUCCAUGACGCUUCUUCAUCAAAUUCAACAUCACGACUAAGCACCACUUUUUUGUUGCUUGGAUUGUAUAACUUGUAGCCUUUUGAACUAGUGUCAUACCCAAUUAACACAUACCUGACGCUUCGAUCAUCAAGUUUAGCUCUCCUUUGAUAUGGAACAUGAGCAUAGGCUAUGACUCCCAAAAUUUCUCAAGUGCUCGACACUCGGCUUUCUUCCGCUCCAUGCUUCUUGAGGUGUUUGAUCUUUCACAUUUCUUGUUGGAGACCUGUUGCUUAAAUAAACUGCACAUGAAACAGCCUCGGCCCAAAAUCCUUUUGGCAUAUUUUUAGCUUUCAACAUACAUCUUGCCGUAUUAAAAAUUGUUCUAUUCUUUCUUUCUGCAACUCUAUUUUGUUGGGGCGAGUAAAGUACCGUUAGAGGGCGACGAAUUCCAUGAGACUGACAAAAGUCAUUAAUUCUUUUGAAGUGAAUUCGCCUCUUCUAUCGGACGACUUUUAUUUCAUAGCCGCUCUCCUUUUCUACAAGUGCUUUGAAAUUUUUAAAGGCAACAAAAGCUUCUGAUUUUUGCUUCAAGAAAUAUAUCCAAGUCUUUCUAUUGAAAUCAUCAAUAAAGAGUAAGAAAUAUUUACAUUUACGAAAAGAAGGUGGAUCGAUUGGACCACACACAUCGGUGUGAACAAGCUGAAGUGGAUUAAUUUCCCUUGACGUGGUUUCUUUUGGAAAACUCAUCCUUGCAUGUUUUCCAAGAAGACAAGCUUCACACAGUUGAUUGGGAUGAUUGAUUGAUGGAAUUCCAUCAACCAUGUUCUUGUCUCCCAUUGAUUUGAGGGCUUCAAAGUCCAAAUGUCCAAAUCGCAUGUGCCAACACCAUGGCUGAUCUUGCACAUUAGGCUUCAAACACUUUGCAUUAAUGGUCUUAAGAUUCAAAGGAAAUAAUCUAUUUUUUGCCAUAUGCACUUUGGCAAUUAAAUUAUUACUUGAAUCUCUAAGCCAAAGAUACAUAUUUUUCAUAUGAAUAUCAUAUCCUUUUUCAAGAAGUUGGCCCAAACUCAAAAUAUUACUUUUAAUUUUUGGCACAUUGUAAACCUCAUUGAUCAAUUUGUGAUCACUAUUUUUACAGGAUAUCAAAAUAGUACCUAUACCUUCAAUUUGAAUCUUUGAGGUAUCUCCAAAAGACACAUUACCUCUCAUCGUCUUCUUGAUCUACACAAACUUGUCUUCGUAUCCACACAUGAUUACUUGCUCCAUUAUCAAGAUAUCAUGAACUGUAAUAAUCUGUAUCAUCUUCUGUGAGUGCCAUUAAUAAUGUUGACUCAUCUUCUUCUUUGUUAUUGUCAUCAAGGUUAGCGUUUUCUUCAACAUUACUACGACAUUCCCAAGAGUAAUGUCCAAAUUUAUGACAGUUUUAGCAUUUAAUUUUAGAUUUGUCAUACCUCAUUUCAUUAGUACCUUGAUAAGCUCCACGUCCUCUUCCUCCUUGUUGUCCACGACCACGACCUCUGAAUGUUUGAUGGUUUUUAUCUUCAUUGUUGAAUUUAUUGAUACAACUCCUUCCUCUUCCACGACCUCCACGGCAGCCACGGCCUUGCCAUUGUCCAUUUCCUUUGUAACUUUUCUCACCUCCAAAAUCUUUGAAGGAUGCCUGAGUUUUAAGAAGUUGCUCCAGUAGCUCUUCUUUUCUUCUUUUCAUUUUUUCUUCGUGGCUUGUAAAGAACCUUCCAAUUGCAAUACUGUCAUAGAGUCUAAAUCCUUAGACUCCUCAAUAGCACACACCACAUAAUCAAAUUUGGGUGUUAAAGAGAGAAGGAUCUUUUCUAUCACACGCACAUCAUCUACUUCCUCCUCGUACCUUCUUAGUUGAUUCACAACUGCCAUCACUCUUGAACAAAAAUCCAAAAUGGAUUUGGAUUCUUUCAUUUUUAAAACUUCAAAAUCAGCCCUUAGAGUUUAUAGUUUUACCUUAUUUACCUUAUAACUCCUUGGAGAGAAUUUUGUAAAAUCUCCCAAGCUUCCUUCGAGGUGGUUGCAUCAACGACCUUUUCAAACAUACCAUCAUCCAGACAUUGGUGGAUGAGAGUGAGGGCCUGUUGAUCUUUCUUCCUUGUCUUAAUCAAGACAUCUUUUUCAUUUUGAGAGUCUUCUUAUUGGCGGGUUUUGUAUACCCUUUGUCUACAAUGUCCCAAACAUCUUGAAAACCAAGAAUGACUUUCAUCUGUAGGCACCAUUUUUCAUAAUUUUCUUUUGUAAGAUGGGUUUACUGGAAAGACAGUGGACAUAGGUUUGAAUUUGAGAUGACGGACAUAGGUCACAUGUCAUAUUACUUGGGCCUAAAAGUUAAGCAAAUGGAGGAAAACAUCUUCAUAUCUCAAGAAAGCAAUACAGAGGAGAUUUUGAAGAAAUUCAACAUAUUUGAUUGCAAUCCUGUGAACACCCCAAUGGAAAGUGGAACAAAAUCAUCAAAGUUUGAUAAUAGUGAAAAAGUGGACUCCACUCUUUUCAAAAGUCUCGUGGGAAGUCUGAGGUACUUGACCUGUAUGAGACCAGAUAUACUUUUUGCAGUUGGAGUAGUAAGUCGAUUCAUGGAAGCUCCUACCUCCACUCACUUGAAAGUUGCUAGAAGAAUUCUUCGUUACCUAAAAGGUACGAUAGACCUUGGACUAUUUUAUUCUUCUUCUAAUGAUUUUAACCUUGUGGGAUUUUGUGAUAGCGAUUAUGCUGGAGAUGUGGAUGAUAGGAAAAACACAUCAUGUUUGUGUUUUUCUUGGGUGAUUGUGUUGUAUCUUGGAGCUCAAAUAAACAAAUCAUUGUUACUCUCUCAACGUGCGAAGCUGAAUAUGUGAUAGCAACGUCAUGUAUGUGCCAUGCCAUUUGGUUGAGAAGAUUAUUGAAGGAGCUUAACUUACCACAGACUGCAGCAACGAUGCUCUGUGUUGAUAACAAGUCAGCACAGGCUUUUUCCAAGAAUUCAGUAUAUCACGAUCGAAGUAAGCACAUAGAUACAAGGUAUCACUUCAUCAGAGAAUGCAUUGCCAAGAAAGAGGUAGAUCUCAAGUGCCAUUAUUGAAAAUGAAGCAAUGUUGAAUGAAGUCACUACAUACGAUAGGUACAAAAUUUAUGCCAUAAAAGGAGCACCUCAGCUCAUUUGUUCUAUACACCAAAACAAGAGAGAAAAACAAUGGAGAGCAGUGAGGUAUUCCACAGACUGAUAAAAAUAGUUUGUGAGAGAAAAAUUAUAGUGAGCGAUAUUUUAGUAAGGUGGGAGUCAAAAAAGGGUUAAAAUACUUGUCAAUGCGACUAUUCCACGCUCGUGGAGCUUUCUUCAAUCUAUAUAAAGCUUUUUUCAAUUUCAACACUUCAUCUUCGUGAUUCUCUAGUUCAAAAGGCUACAAGUUAUACAAUCCAAGCAACAACAUGGAAUUGAUGUUGAAUUUGAUGAAGAAGCUUCAUGGAAUUGAGAAGGCCAGGAGGCUCAGAAAGAAAGAACAUAUGAUUUUCUUCCAUACUUUGGAAAUGAAGAAGAGCAGGAUACCAUGGCACCUGCACAAGAUGCAACCCUAUCAAAAAAUGUUGCAUCUCCUUCUUCUCAAGAUCAGAGUUCAAGUAAAAGGCUACAGAGGAUGAGGAGUAUCCAGGAACUUUAUGAUGACAGAAGAAGUUACUAAUUUUGAUUUUUUGUGUUGUCUCUAUGCUGACAGUGAACUAAUGAAUUUUGAUGAAGCUAUUACAGGCAAAAGGUGGAGACAAGCCAUAGAGGAAGAAAUUCAGUCGAUAAAAAAGAACUUAACAACUCUUCUUAAAGAUCAUCAAGCAAUUGGAGUCAAAUGGAUAUACAAGACAAAGAAGAAUGCUCAUGGAAAGGUAGAGAGAUACAAGGCAAGACUCGUAGCUAAAGGCUACAAGCAAAGACAUGGCAUUGACUAUGAAGAAGUCUAUGCAUCUGUUGCCCGCAUGGAGAUGAUACGUCUGCUGAUCUCUUUGGCGGCACAAAUGAAGUGGAAAAUCCAUCAACUAGAUGUCAAGUCUGCAUUUUGAAUGGAUAUCUUGAAGAAGUCUAUGUUGAACAACAAUUGGGCUUUGUGGUCAAGAAUCACGAAGAUAAAGUGUUGAAAUUGAAAAAAGCUUUAUAUGGAUUGAAGCAAGCUCCACGAGCGUGGAAUAGUCGCAUUGACAAGUAUUUUCAAGAAAAUGAGUUUACUUGUUGUCUCCAUGAAUAUGCUCUUUACAUUAAAGUUCAUACUAAUGGAGAUGUUAUGAUUGUUUGUCUUUAUGUUGAUGAUCUUAUUCUAACGGGUAAUAAUCCAUGUUUGUUUGAAGCUUUCAAGAAAACUAUAUCCUUUGAAUUUGAGAUGACGGACAUAGGUCUCAUGUCAUAUUACUUGGGCCUAGAAGUUAAGCAAAUGGAGGAAGGCAUCUUCAUAUCUCAAGGAGAAAAUGGUCAAAAGCACCCCCAACCUUUACCCCAAAUCCCAACUACACACUUAUAUUUUGCGGGGGGUUCUAUGACCCCUGAACUAUUUUAAAGUGGAAUUAUUAUCCCCUGAACGUUGACAUGGCAAGAGUGUGUUUCACUCUCUUUAAAGAGAGUGAGAAAGAAUUUUUUUUAUGAAAAUUUUAUUUUUAAUAUUUUUUAUACAAAUAAUUUUAAUUAUUACUUUUCUUAUUCAUUUUCUCAUGUCUUCUUUUUUUUUUUUUUAGAACAAAAAUUCAAGAACUUAUUAAUGGAGUUCCUCAUCUUCCUCAUCUCCAAUUUUAUUUUCUCAUCUUUCUUGCACUCAUUAAUGGCGAGGACUCAUUAAUGGUAUUUUCUGAUAAUUUGAAAAAUGUUAUUACCGAAAACAAGAAACACUUGAACUAAGGAAACAAGAAGAUUUCUCCGAUUAAUGAAUUCUUGAAUGAGGAAGAUGAGGAACUCCGAUUCAAAAACCUUGAAAAAAUUCAAGAACUCCGAUUCUCUUUUUUUGCUCAAGAUCCGCCAUUAAUGGCGAGCUCAAAGCUUUGAAUUUCCACAAUGCCGUAUAUAAUUUUCGACAUAACCCACAAUGUCAUAUAUAAUUUCCAAACCAUUUCUCCGAUUUUCUCUAUUUUUGCUCAAGAUCCGCCAUUAAUGGCGAGCUCAAAGCUUUGAAUUUCCACAAUGCCAUAUAUAAUUUCAACAUAACCCACAAUGUUAUAUAUAAUUUCCAACCCAUUUCUCCGAUUUUCUCUUUUUUUGCUCAAGGUCCGUCAUUAAAGAAUUCAUUAAUUGGAGAAUAAACUAGUGUUCGAUAGAGGGACUUUCGAAUGAAUGACCCGCUUGUCAUUAAUCCGAUUUUCCUGAUCUUGGGACUUUCCCAAGAAUUCAUUAAUUCGCCAUUUUUUUCCCCAAGAAUUCUAUCUUUGACCCAAGAAGAUGAAAUUGAGUUGAAGAAGAAAAUGGAGUAAAAUGGGAAAUGGGGAAGAAGAAAGGAAAUAAUAAAGUUAAAUAAUUAUUUUUUUUUAGAGUAAAAUAAUAAAAAAAUGACGUGGCAGCGCGUGCAUCACGCCACAUCCCAAAUGACUGGUUGUCAAUUUUCGGGGGUUAAUAAUUUCACUUUAAAAUAGUUCAGGGGGUCAUAGAACCCCCGCAAAGUAUAAGUGUGUAGUUGGGAUUUGGGGUAAAGGUUGGGGGAAGCUAUACAAAGGAGAUUUUGAUGAAAUUCAACAUGAUUGAAAUCGUGUGAACACCCUAAUGGAAAGUGGCACAAAAUUAUCAAAGUUUGAUAAUGGUGAAAAAGUGGACUCCACUCUUUUCAAAAGUCUCGUGGGAAGUAUGAGGUACUUGAUUUGUAUGAGGCCAGAUAUACUUUUUGCAGUUGGAGUUGUAAGUCGAUUCAUCUCCUACCUCCACUCACUUGAAAGUUACUAGAAGAAUUCUUCGUUACCUAAAAGGUAUGAUGGACCUUGGACUAUUUUAUUCUUCUUCUGAUGAUUUUAACCUUGUGGGAUUUUGUGAUAGCGAUUAUGCGGGAGAUGCGGAUGACAGGAAAAGCACAUCAGGUUUUGUGUUUUUGUUGGGUGAUUGUGUUGUUUCUUGGAGUUCAAAGAAACAGACCAUUGUUACUUUCUCAACUUGCGAAGCUGAAUAUGUGGCAGCAACGUCAUGUACGUGCCAUGCCAUUUAGUUGAGAAGAUUAUUGAAGGAGCUUAACUUACCACAGACUGCAGCCAUGAUGAUUUGUGUUGAUAACAAAUCAGCACAGGCUCUUUCCAAGAAUCCAGUAUAUCAUGAUCGAAGUAAGCACAUAGAUACAAGGUAUCACUUCAUCAGAGAAUGCAUUGCCAAGAAAGAGUUAGAUCUCAAGAACGUGAAAUCUCAUGGUCAAGUUGCAGAUAUUUUCACAAAGCCUCUCAAGUUUGAAGACUUUCAGAGAUUGAGAUCAAGUCUUGGAAUGAAGAAGAAAAAUCAAAAUUAAGGGAGAGAUUUGUGGGGUCCAGCCCUAUCAUUCAUGCAUUCUUUGUCAAAUUCUGUUGGCUAGAGAUUAGUCUAAAAUUAUUGCAUUUUUGUUUGUCAAAUUUUGUUGGCUAGUCCAACAUUACUGCAUGCAAUUUGUUUUCUUGUCAAAUUUGGUUUGCAGAGUAGUGUGUUGAUGUUAUUGAUGACAUCAACGUAGGUUUGUUUUCUUCUUAUAAAUAGAGGUGGUUUUCUGCUUAUAAAUAGAGGCAGCUCCACCUCUCUUUAGUACACCAAAAUUGAGAGAGAAAAGAGAGUAAACCACAAAUAUUCUAUAGUCUGUGAGAUAAUAGUGUGGGAGUAAUAUUGUAGUGAGUUAAGAGAAAUAAAAGGAUAGUUGUUUCGUUUAUAAAGAAUAGUAGUCUUUUGAUACUCCAAGUUGUAAUCAGUAUUAUUGUAUUACUCUAUUGGAUAUUUUAUUUACCCUGUUAUAAUAUUUGGUGUAGUUGUUACUCUCUUGUUAUUGCUAUUUGUGUGGAUAUUAUCCUGAGUGGGAUUAUUUUGUUUUUUCCAACAACGCGACAUGAUUAUUUUACCAUACUAUUAAUGAUGUUUAGUUUUAGGUUUUUGAUAAAUGAUUUGGAGAAUAAGUAAUUAAUGUUAAAAGGGUAAAACAUGAAAAAAAAUUGUCUUUUUCUAGAUAUAUUAAAAGUAAUAAGUGAAGGUGAAAAUCUAUUUUUAGAAUAGUGGACAAUAAAAAGUGAUCAGAAGAAGUAUUUGGUUGAAAAGCUUCAGUCUUUCUUGAAUUUUGUUUGGUUCCCAUUUUCUUAGAAUAUGCUAGAUGUUUGCGUUUAUGUUAUUUGGUUGAAAAGAUUCAGUCUUUCUUGAGGUCCCAUUUUCUUAGAAUAUGCUAGAUGUUUGCGUGUAUGUGAUUUGGUUGAAAAGUUUCAGUCUUUCUUGAGGUCCCAUUUUCUUGGAAUAUGCCAGAUGUUUGUGUUAUAUAUUGUUUAAGCUUUUGAGAUCCUUCUCCUUUUUGAGAUAGCUGUCCACCCAAAUGGAUUAAACUAUAACCAUCACAUGUAUAGUAUGUGGAUACAACAACAACAAACCCAGUGUAUUCCCACUUAGUGGGGUCUGGGGGGGGUAAGAUGUACGCAGUCCAUACCUCUACCUCUGAUGAAGUAGAAAGGCUGUUUCCGAAAGACCCCCGGCUCAAGUCACGAGAUAUCACACAAACACAUAGAUAGCACAGAAGCAGAUGACGUAACAUAGAUACGGCACCCAUAAGGAAUAUAAAACAGAGUAAAGCAGGAAUGCAGGAAUAUACAGCAGAGGAAAACACACAUAUUCGUAAUAAACAUGGAACACGGAACACGGAACAUUGAAUACGGAAUCAUAACAGGAGUCCCCCCCCGCCAAUUAAUUCCCUACCCUAGCGACCCGAACUGGCCCUAAUCCUCUGCCGUAAUUCGCAUCUUCCAGACCUUCCUAUCUAGGGUCAUGUCCUCGGUGAGCUGUAACUGUUCCAUGUCCCGCCUAAUCACCUCACCCCAGUACUUCUUCGGUCUACCCCUACCCCGUCUAAAACCAUCCAACGCUAGCCUCUCACAUCUACGGACCGGGGCAUCCAUGCCCCUCCUCUUCACGUGUCCGAACCAUCUCAAUCGUGCUUCCCGCAUCUUACACUCCACUGAAGUCACACCAACCUUCUCCCGGAUAGUCUCAUUCCGAACUCUAUCCCCUCGGGUCAGUCCACACAUCCAGCGCAACAUCCGCAUUUCUGCCACCUUCAUUCUGUGGAUGAUUGUGUAUAAUAUAUGUAUACCAGCUAGAAAAGUAAAUACUCUAAAUUUGCCUGGCUAUUCAGGUAAAGAUCCCUUUUAGAUUCCUGGGUUGAAUAGGGAAAAGAAUUUCACUAUUAUUCAUCCUAAAAGUUUAUUGCUAGGAGUAUCAUUUUGUGCGUUUUGAGAGUCAUUUGACGAUGAAUUAUUUUGAAUGGCUUUCUUGUUUUAUUGGACUGAAAGGCUUUGGGAUACUACUACUUAGCUUUAGAAGACAACAGAGUGUAAACAAACAAUCAAUGUAGGUGAUAAUACCUUGAUCGCAUUGUUGUCAUGAGCCUUUUAGUCUAGUAAGAUAAGUUUGCAAUUUAGAGGGACCUCUAUCAUUAGAAAACUCAAUUUGUCCUAAAAUGACUGGUUUUAAAAUGACUAAUUAUUCUUCAGCAUUGGAAUGACAUUAACCUCAAUGGAGCGGAUAGAUCAUAGAGGAUUCAUACCACUGAUCCUAGCUAGUUUUGGAUUGUGGCCUAAUUAAUUGAUUGAAGGAUGAUGAAAUUUCGUGUUCCUCAAUUCCUAAAUAUUGUUAUUAGAUCAUAAAUUUAUGGAGAAAAAAGUCCCCUAAGUGUGGAAACUUAGGGGAUUGAGGUGUGGUUGUUUGAUUGAUUUAAGCGUGGAAAACAGUUAUUGAUAGAACUAAAAGUUUUAUUUUGUGGUGGGUGGGCAGCAGCACCUAUUAUAUGCUGACAUUACUAUGCCAGUGUCCUGAUUUAGAAGGUUAGAUUCAGAAAGAUGAUUUAAGUUAAUGAGAUCCCAGUUUUCUCAAAAAGGUAUAUUAGAAUACCAGGUCUUUCCAUAAGCUUGAGCAACUCUGAGAAGUCAUUGCUUACAUGGACAAGUUGGUUUCUAUUCAAUGGCUUGAAAAAAUUAAUACAUUCUGCAUAUCUAAGCAUCUGGGCUCAUUUUGUUUCACUUUUUUGUGGAUAGUUGGAGGUGUAAAGGGAGUGUUUAGGGGACAAAUAUCAUUUUGAGGGAUAUUUAAGUAAGACUGAAGGAGAUGGUUGAAGUUGAGAUUCUCUGGACUUGGAUUUUAGAUGUCAGACAUCUGCAUUUAUUUAGCGGGACGUUGAUAUUGUUAUGGAUUUGAUGUAUUCUCAAUUGUGAAAUGUCUAUUUGAUCUAUUCCAUCAAAUGGACUUUUACACAUUAACCUUGGAAUUGAAACAACUGAUUUUAUUCCACUCAGUGUGCCGAGUCAGAAAUAUAAGAAUUACCUGUACUUUAUAGCAUUGCCAGCCAAAAAAAAAAUACAAAUAUGAAUGCACAAGUCGCUAGUGGGGGGGGGGGGGGAGGAUAUUCAAGCUGAAAAGGAAUUGAGUCGAACCAUUUCCAUCGUUUAUUAUACUUGACAUCUCUUAUUUCUGCUAUUUCUUCUUGUUUCAUGCAUUAUUACGACUUUGAUUAUUAUUCUUUGUCUUGAGGGUAUACUGGAAACAACCUCUCUACUUCUCCUUCUCCGGAGGUAGUGGUAUGGACUGCGUACAUUUCACCCUCCCCAAACCCCACUAUGUGGGAAUACACUAGGUUUGUUGUUGUAUUAUACUUGACAUCUCUAUCCGACCUUCUUCACGAUCCAUGUGUGUGCUUUCUACAUCGUCCAGUGCUGCAGAUUUUUUUUUCAGGAACUAUCAACUUCCAAGUUGCAUUGUAUUCAAUUGCAUCAAGUGUAUACUAUUUUCUCUUCGCUUUAUAGCUGUUUCUGGUGAAAUGAGUGUUGGAACAAAUCAUUUUACUUAUUUCCUUGCAGAAUGUCUAUGGUUCACUGCACGGAGGAGCGGUCGGAGCUGUAGCAGAAAGGGUAGCAAUUGCCUGUGCCCGAACUAUUGUGGGAAAGGAUAAGGAGCUCUUUCUUGGAGAAUUAAGCAUAUCUUAUCUCUCUGGUACCACUCAAAAUGUGAGUCUUUUAAGGCAUUUUUUUGGUCUUCUCAGCAUUCUGUGUGUUAAUGCACUACUGUCAAGAUUUGGGCGGUCUUCCUUUUUCUUUUCACAUGCUACAGUGCUGAGUGUGUGAAUCCUUACAGUUUUGUAAAUACUGCAUAGAUGUUUUCUGUUUCACAGCAGAAAUGGUGAAUCCAUGUGGAGUAAUAAAAUGAGAACAACACAGAAUUGGCCUAGACCUACAAAGUAGGAACACAGCUCUUCACAAAAUAGUAGGAACACAGAUUUCAUGAGGAAUUCUCUUGUUUUAACCAUGCUAGUUUGUUUACUGUGGUAUAAAAAUAUAUUUGUUAACACGAUAAAUUAGCUAUUUUUCUGCAAUGUUUAUGUCUUGAGGUACAAAACUUAGCCUGCCUUUUCACUAAUUUAUUUCUCUUUUUGGAUUGGGGGUACUCACAGGCCGAAGUAAUUGUUAACGCAUCCAUUGUUCGAAGUGGAAGAAACCUGACUGUAGUUGCAAUGGAUUUUAGACUAAAGGAUUCUGAGAAACUGAGUUACAUCUCUCGUGCAACAUUCUAUCACAUGCCUGUUGCAAGUUUAUGACCUAGACCUGGUUCAACACAUUAAGCCAAGACAUCAUGCUGGUAUGUAUAUCAGUUCAUCAUCCUGAAAACUUCUGUGGCCUCUCUAGGUGUGCAUGCUGCCUCAUAUUUGAGUUCAUCAGGUUACAAUUAUCACUUUCCAGGAAGUUGAUAAUGCAUCCAAUUUCUUCUCGUUCUGAGGUUUGGAACAAAAUAAACAUACUAAAUUUAAAAUGUUUAUAAAGUACUUUUUGAGGGGCUUUGUCAAAUUUAAGCACACUACAUUUCUCAGUUACUCCAAUAAACUUCUUCAAUCAUCUUGGUUCCCGAUGUAUUAACGUGCAUCAGUUCCAAAACUUAUGCUCCCUGUGCAAUUGUUUACUUGGUACUAUUUGUAUUCUGGUGUUCAACUACCCUUUCAACACCUUUAAAUCAUUCUAUAUUCUGUAAUUGACAAAAGUAAUGUCUUAUCUAUUUAACAUUUUUCACUCGCAUGUACUUUUAAAUAUAAAUAACUAAGCAAAAUUUCUUUGUCGACAAACAGGUUGAAAGACCAGAUAAGUCGCAAUGUUGGUAGGCUUACAGAGCUUCACAACUUUAUCGGAAUCAGGAGAAGUUCAGCUGUGUUGCUGGAGCAAAGAUUUGUUUCCCUAUCAGCAGUGCUUAGAAACGUUUGUGUGAAUAAAGUAGUCUGGCUUUCUGCCAAAUAGUGAUAUUCUGUUGGCAUCAUAGUCCUGUUACAAACUCAGUAAUGCAAUAACUCCUGUUUAGAAAUGAGAUCGAAAGCCAAUCCAUUAGUCCAAGACAGUUUUAGCAAACAUCAUGUACUUGUUGAUGCCUUUGUUUACAAAAUAUAAUUGGUGAAGAUGCCUUUGGCGCCAAUGCAAUUGCUCCACAAACAUCAUGAAUUUGUUUGAAACUAUCUGUGCUUGUGCUUAAAGACUAAUGGCGUUUCUCUUCGUUUCCAACUCGGCAGUCUCCUUCCCACCGGGUCAUUUGCACUUCCUGUUUUGUGUUGCCUUCAAUUUUUGCCUCUCCAAGACAUAAUUUUUCCGUGAGGCUUAAGUUUAUAUUUUUGCAUCAUAAUAUCUCACAAGUUAUGCCUUGUUCCUUUAAAGAACUUAUAUCCCUCUAGAUAGAUAUAAGUUCAAGUGCUGAGGGCGUUCGAGUGCCAAGGGCAAAGAUCCAAGACCAACCCAUUUUGAAAGACAAAAAUUAAGGAUGAAUCCAUUGAAGGGCAAGCCAUGCAAUUGUAUGUCAUCCACCACCUAAAGAAUGAACAGAUGAGUUGUCAUAACUAACUCCUAGGGACGAAUUGCACAACAUAAGCUAAAUGGUGAACUCAACAGUAAUAAUUAACGAACUAUGUAUAGUUCCAUCGCCUGAGAGUACACGUAAGUCCAGCUUAGGAGUAUUACACUAUCUUUAUCAGGCAGGGUAGGAGGGCGAUAGUGAAGAACACAAGAUAGAUGGGGGAAGAGAUGAGCGUACACAAAAGACACAUUUAUAUUGGGAAGAAGUAUCUAAGAAGGUGGCUUCUUUGUUGGAUCUUCUUUUCCUGCAGGUGCAACUCAACGGGGACAACAAUUUUCCACCUCAACAUGGUUCUAAGGACGACUCCUCUCAACUCAUUCGAGGCUGCAUUAAGUUCCACAGCAUCCAUCCUGGCAAAGUCUCCUUCAUUCUAUCUGUCAAACCUGCAAUCUUGGUAAUUCUGUCUUGUAUUUUUUGGGAUCUAUGUUAGGUUUUUGGGUUAAGUUCUACAAAACCAUUUUAAAACUCUAGCUUCCAAGUUUCGUGGAGUAAAGUUUCUAUACACCCUGAUCUUGUAUACUCAGUGAGUGGGUCUUACACCCUAGUAAAGCGAUCACGAUUUAAAGCCGUGCUGAGUCUAGACCCCGCAGACAAUAUCACUAGCGGGUUGGGCCUUUACAGAUCGAUGAGAGCUUCAGUCUUUCUAUUGUGGGGCAAUGUGAGGUUGAAGCUGUCAUAAAGAGUGUAAACAGCACAUAGAACUAUGUUACAUUACUUCGAAAUUGCAGACAUAUAGGAAAGAGCGAGCGUUAGAGCAAUGGGAGGGUUGCUCUUUUGAUGACUUCUAGAUCACAGGUUCGAGAUGUGAACAACCUAAUUCCCAGAAAUGGUUUGUCACAUGUCGGUUGAGAGUCUGAGGGUAUGGAUGGGCGAUGAUCAAUCUUUCACCUCAUGAGGUUGCUGUUAGAGUUAUUAAAAUUCAUUCCUUUUCUUGGUUUAUCCAAUGUUAACUUCCAUCUGUCUUAUCCGCGUUUCAAAUACCGUUCUUGAAUAUUCCAUCUUGUGUUGUCCACGUUUCAAAUACCGUUCUUGCCUAAUGUUGAACCCUUGUAUUAUAUUGUUCACGCUCCAUAUAUCAGUCCUAAGCAGGGGGAGGGUGAGUCAACCCCAUAUUCGUGCUCCAAUGUAGUAUUGUCUACGCUCCAGAUACAAUCUCCCGAGCGUGAAGAGGAUGUUGGUCCCAUAUUGUUAUUGUUUCUUGUAUAGUUGUCUUUAGCUAAUUUUUGGAGUUGAAUUAGACACGAGGUCCUAAAAUCUUAACACAUGAAAAUAAUGUGAAUGGUAUAUUCCCAGUCUACUUCUACACCUAGACUAGCAAGGAUAAUUUCAUGAGUAAGCCCUUUUGAAAUAUUAGAUUCCAAUAUUCUUUUGCCAAAAAACAAAACAGCUUUGUUUAAUUUCUGCUUUUGUUUUCUUCUAGCUCCCUUCCAAAAGUUGUUUGGGCUUGCCCUCAGUCCUGAGUCUUGUAUUUCCUUCCUUACGUUCAAUUGGGAAUUAAGGAUUAAAGAGACAUUUUUUCAUGGACAAAGAACUGAGGAAUGAAAAGAAAGUAAACAAUAAACAUAAAGGGAUAAUUGUAUAUCAAUUUGGUAAGACCAAAUGCACAUCAGUAUACCCCUCCUUCCCUCACCUUUAUAUAAAAAAGAUGUCAUUCUUCUCNNNNNNNNNNNNNNNNNNNNNNAGUGGUGGUAAGUUGCAGUUGAUUUCCGGCUCAAGUUUGGUCUACACCUCUAAUGCAACAUUCUAUCACAUGCCUGUCUCAAUUUUUAAGUCUGACUCAACACGUUUAAGUAGAUAAUAACUCAGACUAAUUAUAUGUGUACAAUGGCAAAUCAUUGAUAGCAUCACCAGAUGAGUUUUGACUCUUCUUCUCGUUCUCUGUAAUCACCAAAGCAAUCUUUACAUCUCGAAUUAUCUGAGGUUCCCUUAACUGUCUAAUAUUUUCGUCUGUGAUGAAAUACACAGUUGAAAACAUGAUUUAUUGAAAGAGAAUGAAGUGAAAUCGUGUACACCAAUCUUAUAGCUGUGUGUCCAAUGGAACUCCACUUUAACUGGAGUGCUCCACAGAUUUUUUGAUUAAAAGCCAAGCGAUAAAACUGAUACAACUAACGGCAUCCAUUAUACUGGUCACUGGACGACUUCAAUUUCACCUCUGAUGAAUACAGCCUCAGUGGAAUAGACAAAAUUGCUAAUGCCCCAUUAGGGGCUCUUUUCUUAAAAGACAAUAUUGCUAAUGUCCCAUUACUCCUCUCACUCGAAAAUGUUUAUCUGCGUCUUUUUAACACCAGAGAGUUCACCUGAGGAGAAAAAUAAUUAUGAAAUCAAAGUUAAUGCUUAUUGUACAAUUGAGAAAAUGAUACUACCCAAACCAAGAGCUGGACAUCCUUUAGCAUCAAGCUAGUGUUCGAAUAUUAGAUUGAUUAAGUAAUUUGCAGACCUUUUUGGGGAUUUUUAUUCCUAGCCAACUGGAAUACAUUAUGAUAUGCAUAAAUGAUAUAUUAUGUUCCCACUGCACAAACUAUCUAUGAAGGAGUUGUUAUACUACAUGGAUUGUUAUGCAGUAAUAUACAGUGAUGCAUUGAUUUGUUAUGCGAUAAAUAAAUAAUAAGUAUAAUGGUUCUUACACUACCAAAAUCAAGAACUAGCUUAGUCCUGUAUUCCAAAUACGUGUUCUUAUCUAUGUCGUACACAACAAUACACCGAUUCCCGGGUAACUCUACCUACCAAACUUAAGCAAAUGGAAAGAUAUCACUAUUUUCUUUUUGACUUUUAACUGGAUUUGAACCGAGAUUCAAAUGGUCUUUGUUCCAGGUUCAUCGACCACUAAGCCACACCCACCACUAAGCCACACCCUGAUACUCUUGAUUCUAAAGUAUUCACGUCGAUCUAAACUAAACAUGAAAUGAGAUUAUCUCUAACAUAAGUAUAUAUAAAAUUCCAUAUUUACCGUACUCGGAUUUUAGGCUCUAAUAGUUGAUGUACUAAUUUGAACUGCGCAAAUAAUAAAUGAAUGUUUCUAGAAUCUUACAGAUUGUUAUUGGUCAUAUAGAUACAUUUAGAACGAUAAAUAGUGUUCCCUAAGAGAAGUACUCUAAUUUGUCUUGUAGCCAUACUAGUUCCUCACCUAACUAUCAGUUUGAGAUGCCAAGAAUAUCGAUUACUUUUGGGAUUGACAUUAUCUAUCACUAAAGAAACUCAAACUAAAUACGAAUUGAAAGACCAGAAAAGCUUUAGUACCAUCAUAUGACAUGAUAUUUAAAAGAGUCACAUACUUCUUAGAACCUGGGAGAAACUGUCACUGAAUCAUGCCUCAUGGGAAGAUAGCAUCAACAAAUUCCUCAGCAUUGAACGGUUGGAGGUCAUCUACACCUUCCCCAACUCCUACAAACUUUACAGGGAUGCCAAGCUCAUCAACCACACUAACCUGCAACCCCAAAAGUUCAAGAUUGUUUAAGUAGUUGCAAUUUAUCAGAUUUUUAGAGAGACAACAACAACAAAAUCAUAAAAGGAAAAAUGAACCAAGUUUGGAGAAUUCAAAGAAUACCACACAGCCACCUCGAGCAGAACCAUCAAGUUUAGUCAAUAUUAAGCCAGUGACUCCAACAACCUAGAGAAGAAGAUAAAUUCAUACAGAACCUUGAACAUUAAAGUAACAUAUAGAAGUUCAACAUAACGAAUUGACAAGGGCCAUUACCUCGUUAAACUCUCUCGCUUGAGGAAGCAUAUUUAAACCAGUAGUUCCAUCCAGUACAAGCAAUAUUUCCUGCAAAACUUUGAUAAAAUAUUUAUAUCCAUGACAAGGGUUUUCCGUUCUGCAAUUUGAGAAGUUUAGCUUAGUCUAGAAAGAAUUUUAGCAGGGUGAAUAUAAUAAGCGGGAAAAUCAGAAGUAGAUGACAAAGAAGAAGCCUGAUAUGAUCAAAGAAUCCAUAUGAGAGAUUUUUAUUCAAAAUGGUAAUUUAUAGAUGUCAAACAACCCGCAUUAAGUAUUGUGGUGACAUAUAAAAGUCAGCAAAAGAAAGGAUUAAAAGGAAACAAACAAUUUCUUACUAUCUAUACAAAAGAUUCCAGAACCAUAACAGGGUUUCACUAUAUUCUACCCAUUCCUGUUUAUACAAAAAGAAGUCAACAAAAUACAAUCUGACAUGAUCUUCAAUAUUGAGUUCUAUUACCCUUCAAAGCACCUCCUAUUCCUUAUUAGCUGUUGGGUAUAGUAUCUGAUGCUCUCUCUUCAGAUAAUUGAAAUCCCUUGCAUGCUUUGAAUCCAUACUACGGAUCUUCUAAGAGAACUUAUAAGUUAAUAACACUAAGAAAGAGUAUCAAGCUGCUAUUCUUUAUUCCUGUUCUCUACUGCUCCUUUGCAUAAAUUGUUGAAAAAUUUUCACCAGUAUUAGCAUCACAGACCUGCUCUAUUCAAGAAACUCUUCAUGAAUCCGACUUGAGAUGCAUUUAAAGGUCCCCCACCCACCACAUCCAAAAGGAAACAGAAAAGAGAUAGACGCACACAUAGCAACAGCAAACAGCAACGAACAUUAUCUAUUAAAAAUCAUAGUGAAGACAGCUUAAACCAUUAAGGAACGCUAAAUUCAGAAUAUAUACGGACACUUGCCAGAAGUAUUGACUGUCACUAUUAAGGGAUAAAUGUCACUUUAAUGAGAUAAAACAUAGGCUUAAGUCAUCGAUAACCUCUUUAAGUUGUCCCAAAAUUUCACUUGGACUCCUGAACUAAGCCUUGUACCUAUCAGGCACCUCAAGUGCUUAUAAUUGAUACCUAUCAGGCACAAAAUGCUGAUUAGGCAAGGGGCACGUGAAUCGAAAAGCAAAUAAUAUUUUACUUUUUUUUAAUUAAAAAAAUUAUAUUUAAAUUAUUUUAGUAACAUAUAACAAUUUCUUUUUUUUUUUAAAAAAAAAAAGGAAAGCACCCCUCCUCCCCCAUGUGUGUCUUCUUUCUAAGAGAAAAAAAACAUUCUUCAUUUCAAAAAAACCAGAAGCAGUCCCCCCCCCUUCUUCAUCUCUUUCAAUUAAAGCUUUCUUCUUUUAAUUCGGUAUGGUUCGAUAUUAACAUCAAAGAAUGGAGAAACUCCAUUAAGCACAAAAUGAGUAAAACCAUUCUUCACCAUUGUCAACAACAUCAAAGAUGUGGAGCAAAAGAUUCUUUCUUUUUUUAGAAAAUCAGUUAAUUAAUUAAGAAUUUUUUUUUUCAUUUAUUAAAACUACAAAAAGAAAUUGCAAAGAAUUAAAAAAAAAAAGAGGUUACAGCGGCCCCUCAAAUACGUAUAAAUCAGAGAGACAGUGCUAAAUUUGCAGCAGCCAGCAGUAGUAGUUUUGUGUACAUGUGUUGUUGUGUGUAUUUGUUGGAAUCUAAAGUGAAGAUGACGGAGCGGAGGUUGUGUAAAUACGCCGGAUUUGGGGUGGGUGGGUGGGGGGGGGGGGGGCACGCGAGUGUGUUACACACAUUAUAUACCUUUUCCUAGAUGGAUCAAAUUUCGGGAGGGUUAGGGGUCUGAUAGGUACAGGCCUUAGUUCAGGGGUCCCAAUUGAAAUUUCGGGACAACAUAUAGGGGUCGUCGAUGACUUAAGACUAAAACAUAUAUAACAUAAAACAAAACAAUGUCGAGGUGUAAAUGAGGAUACACUCAACACUUGAGCCAUUACCUGUAGAAACUGGUUUGCAUGCAUGUGCAUUGCACAUGGGCUACUAUUUGGGAAGAAAUUAUUCAAAAUAAUAAGCAAAAUGUUCUUGAAAGCAUUCACCAAUGUUUACAUAAGAAGAUUGAGUGAUAAUGAAGGAGCUCCGAACUAAGAAAUUUGUUCAAAUAAGUAAAAGACUAGGGGCAAUAUAGGAACAGAUCUUGCACCAAAAUCCUUUUGGUACUCCAUUAUAUACUAUAGGUUCUGUUAAGAGCUUUUUUAUAUGCUAUAGGUUUAAUCAGUUUGACACUACUUCAGUGAAGAGGUAACAGAGAGUCCUUUGUACACUUAAACACCACAAGUUCUCCAAAAGACGGGACAAGUCACAAUGGAGGAUUGACAGUAUACUAAAGGAAGAAGCUAAAGAGUUCAAGUUUAACAUACAUUAGGUGCACCAUUAACAACUUUACUGACAGUUUUCUUGCAUGCCACCAAUUCCUCCAUCAAACUAUAGUUGGUAUGCAAACCUGGUCAAAAUUUCAAUACCACUCAGAGAUACUAUCCAAGAGUGAAUAAGAAAGCUGUUAUUAUAUUCACAGAACUUACGGCCAGAUGUAUCGCAUAGAACAAUAUCGAAACCCUCUUCCUUUCCUUUUUUAACAGCCUGUAAAAGGACUACUCAGGAAGAACUUCAAAAUCAUGUGGUCAAAAUUUUAAAGUUUACACUGUCAUUUUUAUUUUGGUUAAUAUCUAACACUGCAAACACUUGUGGAUUAAACGUUGCAAUUUGGUACCUGAUGAUGCCUUAGCUUUCUCUUUUUCAGCAACAACAAUUUCACAACCAGUCCUUUCAGCCCAAAUUUCCAAUUGAUCACUAGCAGCUGCUCUAAAUGUAUCACCAGCUGCUAGUAGUGUCUACAAAGUUCACAGGAUGGAAAUGUGAGAUGCAGGUUCUAUCCUAUCAUGAGAAGAAGAAGAAAGAUAAUGCAUCUAAUUCUACUUAAAUUACAGAGAAAAAAGUUUAAGCGAGUUUCCUAUGAUGCAUAAUGAAUGCUGAGCACCAGUUUUUUUUUUUGAAUAAAUAUCAAAGGUAAAAAGAAUGACAGAAUUACACAAUAAGAAUACUUAAAGAUGAUUGGACUGUAAGAUAUACUAUUCUGACGUUUGUCCUCAAGGCAGAAGAGACAACAACAACAACAACAAACCCAGUAUAUUCCCACCUAGUGGGGUCUUGGGGGGGUAAGAUGUACGCAAUCCAUACCUCUACCUCUAAAGAAGUAGAAAGGCUGUUUCCGAUAGACCCCCGGCUCAAGGCACGAGAUACCACACAAACACAUAGUCAAGCACAGCAAAUUACCCAUUUACGAUAUAUAAAAUGUUACAAGCGAUCAAAGUUUAAUAAUGGAAAGCUUAUCCCAAGAUAUAUCUACUGUAAUAAGUACGACGAUCUGCAGAUGUUGAAAGGGAGUCAUAGGAAUGUAUUCCUACUCUUCUGGUGUGUUUGGUAUGAUGGAAAAUAUUUUCCAUGGAAAAUGUUUUCUUGGAAAAUAAGUUGGUUUUCUACUUAUUUUCUCAUGUUUGGUUGGUGAGUGAAAAAUAUUUUCCGGAAAAUAUUUUAUGGUGUUUGGUUGAUGAGUAGAGAAUAUUUUUUAGAAAAAUAUUUUCUAGUGUUUGAUUGGUGAGUGAAAAAAUAUUUUUUAGAAAAUACUACUAACUGUUAACUAAUAUAUCAGUACCUCUAACAACUCAACAAUUUGUAAGAAAUAAUUUAACCAUAACAAAUAAUAUCAAUAUCGAAUUCUAAAAUACUACAAUCACUAAAUUUAAGCAACUAUUAAUUAGCAAAUAUAGGAGACACUUUUCAACAUUUUGUUAGGACAAUCUCAAGAUACUACUAUCAAUAGAAAUAUAACGGAACGACAAGUUUAUUCAAACUUGUGAAACAAGUUACAUAGAUGACAAGAUGAAAUAUGUAAUUAGAAAAAGUAACAAAGGUAAGUCUUUCUCUAUGAAUAUGAAAAUAACAAUACAUUCAACGAACAUUGGAAAUGGAAAAAAUUCUGGUUUCACUUUUUUUUAUUUUAAGCAGUGAAAAAUAGCACAGUGAAAAAUAUUUCCGAGUAAUGUAAAUUUUUGAGAAAUGUAAAUUUUUUGAGUCAUGUGAAUAUGAGUGUCGUUGGGGUGGGGAAAAGGGAUGGGGGUGGGGUCAUAAGUCUCAUUUGUCAUUUUCUGGAAAAUGACUUCCCUUGACCCAUGAAGGAAGUCAUUUUCCAUCAAAUAGAGGAAAAUGAGUUGUUGUGGAGAAUAUUUUCCCAACAUUUCAUUACAACCAACCAGAGAAAAUUGGAAAACAUUUUCCAGAAAACAUUUUCCAUCAUACCAAACACACCCUUCAACUUAAACAAGAUCCUCCUUGACAAAACUACUCAACCUAGUGCUAGAGUUGGUUCAUGGUUGCCCAAACCAACUCAAGAAAUAAAAGCUUUCAACAACACAAAUUUCUAUAGUAUGUUCUCACAUUAUCGAAUGAGUAGUUAAAUGUCACACUGGGUAUAUUGUUGUUGUUGUUGUUGUGAUGGUGUUCUGCAACCAAUGCAAUGCAGUUCUUUCAUCAAUAAGAAUAUUGGUAAAUACAGUUUUCAAAAGUAAACCUAAUGGUUGCUGGAGAAAUUUAAUUGGAAAAGUUUGUAAAUGAGCAGUAUUCAUCAAUUCAAGUGAUAAAGAAAAAGUGGCCAGCACUAGUAAUUUCGCAGCAUAGCAUACAGAAACAAGAUAACAGCUGGCCUCACCUUAGCCCCUCCUCUCUUCAAUCUAUUCGCCAACUUUCCUGCAUUAGGAGAAACAAGAGAAAAGCUCACAAGUUACUGCCACUUUUCAAUUGGUGACUUGGUGAUGGACAUCCCAGAAAUAUUUGCUCCUUUUACUACUUCUCUUCACAAAUCAAACGUUUUCAAUAGGAAAAGUACCACUCAACUUUGAAACAAAAAAAUGGAUCUUGGAGAAAUUACGCUGCUGCCACAAUGGUAUAACCACUUUUCUUCCUCGCACACGCACUUGUUUUCCAACCAAAAAUAUGAAGGUUUACCAUGAACACAAAAAGUAAUUCCUUAC